rnacentral:lncRNA from 1 species
GAUUUCAUGUUUGCUUCAUACUUAUUUUAAUUAAUAAUCUACGUAUUAAUAGAAUAUAUAGUAUUCAUAUAGAAUAAGAAUAAAAAUGAAGACAAUAAAUCGGAGAUUCUUUCUUUCUCUUCCAUUCUUACGUUUCCAUAUUAAAGUAUAGUUUUCUUACUUAAAUUUAAUAAUAUUAAUCUAAUAUGCCCAUUGGUGUUCCAAAAGUACCUUACCAGAUUCCCGGAGAUGAAGAAGCGACUUGGGUUGACUUAUACAAUGUUAUGUAUCGAGAAAGGACACUUUUUUUAGGUCAAGAGAUUCGUUGCGAGAUCACGAAUCAUAUUACAGGUCUCAUGGAUCAUUCAAACGUUAAUUUUUAAUUACAAAUAUGACUUAGAAGAUAAUCCAUUGUGUAACAUACGUUAUUAUGUUUUAUAAAUAAAUGACGUGGAACGCAUAAAAGUGUACAAGUCAUUCAUAACUUGAACAUCCGAUUGUGCUGCUAGGUGUUCAACUGUUCAUCGUCUCUGCUUUCUCCCGCUUACUUAAACCAAGGAUGGCGGUGUUGUCUCCUAUGGAACUGAUCCAAUGAAUAUUAACGCUGAAUUUGGUAUCAAGGUAAAUUAUCAUAAUCUGGUUUGUUCAAAACAGUAAAUCUCCGUUUUCCUAACCAUUUUAUUUUCAGUUUUCAUGUGUGUUUCUGUGCGGCAUUUUACAAACUAAAUUUAACACAGCACAUUCCAGCAAAACCGCAAAAUAAACUAAUAUUUAUUCAUAUGAACGGAGGGAGUAUUUAACAGUGUUAGAUGCCCGAUAAUUGAAGUAACAAAACUUGUCAUGACACGAUUCAUGUAAGCAAUGAUUUAUGUGUCCACACUUCAUUACUAAAAACCCCUCUCAUAUAAGAACAUAAAAAAACAAUUAAGAGGCCUAUUGUGCAAUCUCCGUGUAAUCCACUACACAAGGUCGCUAAGAAUUGAAUGUUUUCUUAUGAACGUCUUCAAAUUCAUAAGAUAUUGUUAGAAGUAACAAAGAAGAGAGAGUUUCCUUGUCAUAAUUCUCUUUUUCUGCUACUUCUUACUUUCAUCACAUUUCAAUAUUUAAUUUUAAACAUCUGUCUGGUAUGCUUAGGAGACUUUCAGGUACGUUUUAAGAGACUUUCGUUCCCUUUGUACAAGCGUCCGCAGCGAUUGUACGGAAAGGGUUGUUUGCACAUGACAGGCCUAGUAACCCAGUAGUUUAACAGUUUCUAUAGUACAAGAACAAAUGCAUUAUGAAUUUCUGAUGGGAAUGGCCAACAAACUGCAUGCAUCCACACACCUUCAAAAAUUGAAUAAGCACGAGGAGAAAAACAAUGAAAUUAAAGAAUCAUAUAUGCGCAUCAAUAUCCCAACAACUUAUCCCCAAAAGCAAAAUAUAGCAUAUGGAGCAAAAAAGAAUAAUUAACAACAAAUUUGAGCGAGAGAUAUCCCAAAUCAGUUAGUUAAUCCAUGGGCAUGGCGUGAGCCGAAAACGACUGGGGUAGGUUCAUAUAUGCAUAUAUUUAGUUAUAUGCUCCGAAGCUGCUCGUGUAAAUGCUGAUCUUGUGCAUGAAUUGAUCAGUGAGCUCGGCUUUUUACGAUGUCGAGGCUCAUCUCACUGGGGUCGGUGGCCUGGAUUUCACACUGGAUGCCGUCCAUCUCCCUCCUGAACCUGUCCUUGGAGCUUGCAUAAAGCAUCUUGCUCCUUGUUCUUGCUGUGUCAGGAGACCUACAUUGUAAAAAGGAAGGAAAUGCUCCAUCAUUCUUAAGUGAAGGCACAUAUAAAGGUUCAUGCUAUUAAAUUCUACGCGUGUGAUGGCGUAUACAAAGGAGUGAAUGGUACUAAAAUGAUACGGAGUAUGAAAAAUGCUGUUAGCUAGGUAUAAUACCAAGGUAACAUGAGCCCCAAUUAAUCAAUCUCCUGUAAGGCUGUAACCGUGCAUGCUUUGCUUAUUUCAAUGCAGCUACUGAAAGGAAGUUCCAGAACGUCCAUUAAUCUCUAUCGGAAAACAUGAGUAAAAUUAGUGAACUAUGUUAUUGAUUCAAGAAUAUAUAUUCUGAUUUCACAUUUCAUGCCUCGAUUGUAUCAUAUGUUCUCAGCACAGUAAGAUGUUCAUAUGCAACUUGGCUCAUAGAGCAAGCAAGUUAAACAUCCGAAUAUCUAAAAGUAGUCCAAUCAAAGAGGUUUAUCAUAAUGCACACAUCAAUGUCAAACACGGACAGUUGGAUCUAAAUGGUGUUCAGAAGGGGCCAGGUUGAAUGAAUACACCCGUUUUCCAAACUAUAAACUUUAAAUGGCAUUUAUAUAUCUGUGUGUCGCGUUGCUAAGAUAUUUCAGGGAUUGUGCAAUAGGUAAUGGUCUGUAAAACUUCGCAAUGACGUUUAUCCAGACGCCUGCAGUAAUGUUGCAGAAUAAACAAUUGUUUAAAACUGACAAAUUGUGAAUCAUAAUCAGUUUCUUGACAGGAUUUAUGAUUCACAAUUUGUCAUUUUACAUAUAGUUUUAGAAUGUACACUUUUAACAUAUUGUUUUAGAAUGUACACAUUCAUUUAAAAAUAAUAACGUUAAUGUAUGAAAAUUUAUAUUUUAUUUAUUGUGUGAAAUGAUUCACUAGACGUAGACCUGCCUAAAAUUAUCAUUUUUCAUUAGUACUUUUUACUAAUGUGUUAUUAAUUAGAAAAUAAUGGCAAACAACUAAAAAAACGUGUACUGGAGAUUGCUGUUUGAAAGAUAAGAAGGAAUGAUGGAUGCAGUGUCAUUUUACCGCACAAUUGACAAGGCUAGCUAGCUAGGAGUUGCAAUGAAAGAAAGCACAAUCGCAAUCAUAUUAGUUCAUUCUAUGUCCACUUUACAUAUUGUUUUAGAAUGUAUGGGUUAAUUUGAUAUAUACCACCGCAAUUUUUCUCUGUAUUUAAAAAACACUACUGCCAUUUUCAUCUUCAAAAAGUGCCACUGCAGAUUCUUUGAAAAAUGCCACUACAAUGAUAUUUUUUGAAUUCACAAGCACUGCAGUGGUAUAUACCAAAUUAACCCUUCGUUUAAAAGCAAUAGCCUUAAUGUAGAUAAAGUUAUGUUUAAUUUAUGGUGGGAAAUGCUGUCGCUAAAAUUAAUUAUGUCUCAUUAAUACACAAUUAAUCAUGUCUUAUUGGUGUCAUUUUGCCACCCAUUUGACGGAAAAGGCUAGCUAGCUAGGUGUUUCAAUGAAAGAAAGCAUGCAUAGUCGCAAUAAAAAAAAGGGAAGGCCACACGCAUGUACCAGGAGAAGAAGAAGAUCUUGCUCUUCUGGCAGUUCUCGUCGGUGACGAAGUCGAGAUCAUAGACGGCGUAGCGACACUCGUCGGCGGGGAGGCUGUUGGUGAAUUCUUCGUAGCCGUGGCUGGUCUCGCCAAGACGCUCCACCUUGAUCUCCAUCGCCUUGUCGUCGAUCUUGAACACGAUGAACCUGAAGCCCCUCUUUGUCUUGAGCUCCGAGAACUUGAUCUUGCACUCAUCGUUCACCGCAAGACCAGAUGCAGAGUUGGCCUACAAUUAACAAUUAAUCCACUCAUAUAUGCACAUUCAUUGAUCAAGAGCCAGUGCAUGCAUUACUUUGCAACCUAUGGAGAUUAGAAAGAGAGACAGCUAGAUAGAUAGAUUAGAUAGCGAGGGAUCGAUUUAGGGAGAGAUCACCAUUUCUGUAUGUUGGCUUCAAAGACCCUGCACAAUGCGGGAGAUCGAAAUGGAGCUUGGAGGGAGAUAAGGGAGGGAGGUGUUAGUUUGCAAGGAAAGGGGAGGAAGGAAAAGUUUGUGCGCGAGAGGAAUGCGGUGGGGAGGAGCGAGAGACAAGGGAAGGCGAGUGAAAAAUAGCCAACCACUCAGUUUGAGGCCCAUGCAUACAAUUCUUGGAGGCUACGAACAUUUGACUUGGUCCCUAGCUCGUUGGUGCUUAACAAAAUAUAAAUCACUUCUUAAUUUCUUGCCACCUUAGUGCACUUUAGACAUAUUCGUGCAUUCAAAUAUCAUCUAAGAACUUACAAAAACAAUACUCCUUCCGAUUCAUAAAAAAUGUAUACAAAUUCUGUAUUAAGUUGAUGACAUUUUUUAUGAAUCGGAGGACACUUGACCUUGUGUCACCCCCGUGGGCCAUGCUAGCUAGAGGUCAAACCCUAGGGCUCCAUCGCGCUAGUUCGCCAUCAUCUGUGUGUAGGAGGAGGGCUAUUUGGCUUGCACAUUGCUCCUUGGCGCUAUAUGUCUGGCUGUGUGGGAUCCUUUCUUGUUUCGAUGGCGUACGCUGAUCGAUUGGAUGCGGCUACACAUGUAACAAUGUUCGAUUCCGAUCUCGAGGAUUGGUUGAUGGAGUUCUAGGUCAGCUUCGAAACCCGAGUGCAGGUAUUCAGUGGCGGUGGUUGGCGUUGGGGUGCUGUGGAGGCCGGAGGCUUUGCAUGAAGCGACAGUUAUUAGGGCUUAAUCUGUGGUGCUCCUCGAAGGAUCUGGGUGACUGGGUAGACUAUGGUUCACACAUGGCGGCAAUCACCUAAUAGCGCAACGUGGCAGGUCUAUGGUGGUCAACUAGGUAGCGACACAUUGCAAGAGGCUGGUCAGUUGGAGCUGCUUUGGGUGCGGAUCCAAGGUGGGUCAAUGGCCCAAUUUGGUCCUGAUGGAGCUUUUGGAUCGCUCCCCAUCGGUUCCAUUCACGGGAGCAAAUAUGCUUUCUUGCUUUCUCCUCUAUUCUAGCGCGGUCGUACCUUUUCAGUUUUCUCGUGGGAUCAUGGCAUGUUUAUUUUUUCUGUUCAGGUCUGUGGACGACUAGCAUGCAUGGUGAUUUACAUGAGUACGUGCAUGGCUGGUAGAGAAGGAGGGUAAUGUCAUUGGUAAAGACGGCAACGGGGCGGGUCUGGACGGGGUCAACCAAAUCCAUAUCCAUCCACAAAAAAUAUCCGUUGAUGCAAAACAAUAUCCACAUCCAUAUCCACAAGGUGUCCGGGUAUCUAUGGAUUAUCCAUAUCCAUGCAAUAUACAUCAUAUACGGAAGCAUAUGCAUCAUCAUAUACAACAGCAUAUACAUGAGUAUACAACAACAGUAGGAUAGCUAACUAAUAGACCCACAUAUCAGGGGUGGGAGUGUGGGACUGAGGGAGAGGAGGGAGUCAGGGUUAGGGUUUGAGUGGGAAAGAGACUAUUUAUAUGACGGAUAUAGCUAACUAAUGGACCCACAUAUCAGUAAUUUAUUUAUUUUAAUAAAUACCGGAUAUCCAUGGAUAUCCAUGAAUCAAAUGUGAUAUUCAUGCCCGUUUCACGAGUUGGCGGUAUCCAUUCGUGGAUAUGCAUGGAUCGAAAACCCGCUCCAUACCCGCAAAUCCAUGGAAUGGAUAUCCAUGUACAUCCACAUUUUGAGGAUUCAUUGCCAUCUUGAGCCAUUGGCAGACAGGGAUGGAUCCAAGGGGAGGGGGGGGGGGGGGCUCCGCCCCCCCUAAGAAAUUUCAUUUUAGUUAAUACUUACUAAUCAACUCAUUAAAAAUCACUUUAAAAUAGGUGAAGACUCUAAUUUCGCCCCCCUCAUGUCAAAUUCCUGGCUCCGUCCCUGUUGGCAGAUUCAAUAGCUAAAUAGUGUUUUUUCCCAAUGAAAGUCCAUGGUCUAGUUUUCAUGGUCUAGAUCAAACAACAUUGACAUAUUGCAUUAUACCUUUUUGUUGAAUGGGUGUUGACACAACAAGCUUGAGCGGAGGUCACUUUUUGAAGUAGGGAUGUCAACGGCGCAGUAAAUUGCGCCGCCAAGCCCGCUUAUCUAACUCCCUUAGAGUUUUUAGUUUUAGUUUUUUCUUUUUUGCUAUCAAAGGCUGAUGUGGGCAGGGCUAAACGGGCUCUAACCGGCGGCCGUUUACAUCCCUAUCUUUUUUUUUUGACGGAACCUCGUCAAGAGGGCAGGGUGCUCCUGCAUUUCAUUAAGAAGAAUAGAAUGGCUCCGUUUAUUUUGGAAAACUGAGCCGAAAACCACACAAUGCACGGCUUAUUCAAGGAAAGCCGUGCGAAAACCCUAACAUCGAGCAUUACAAAACAAAACCGACAUACAAGUCACAACUGCAAAAACGAACCGCCACCUGCUCCAACGACGCCGGACAGGGAACAACUCCUAAACGCCAGAAGAAGGUAGGCAGAGCUAGGCUUCUCCAAUGACCGGAACAAAGAAGAGGUUGCCUUGACAUGUGCAGCUCAUGAAUCGGCGAGCCCGUGCUACUCGAUGCCGCAAUUCCUGGCAGGCCUCAGCUAGGCUCAAUGCAGGAAAUGCCCUGCCGCUAGACGAAGGCUCCAAAGGCAACGCCUUCAAGGAGGGUACGACAUCCGAAGACGCCGCCAUUGCCUGGUCCAGAAAACUGGAUCUGAGCUUUCGCUCGGAGACACCUCGACUGCCAGUUUACAUUCCUUUCUUGAAGGCUCUCAUUUGGAGUACCAUGUUCUCGUCUAAUUACUUCCUCGAUGUUGUGCUAGUGAAUAUUAUUUCCGGUGUUAAAAUAUAGUAGGAGGUACGUAACUGACGCCAGGCUAAUUUCCAAAGAGGAUGGCCUGCCGUAUAUUUUCUUUUAUUUUUCCAUCUUGAUGCUUGGGUGCUUUUACUGUAAAAUCAUGGUUGUAUGCAUUAGCUAGGAUGGAGAGGCGGGGAGGUUCACCUCCCUUUUGAAAAAAACAAAAGGUUAAGGACUUAUUCGGUUUACAAGAUUUUGAAAUCACAAGAAUUAAAAUUACGACCAAUUUAGGCAUAAUCCUUAGAAAGGUUACAUCUGUAUACAUAGCAAAAAGAUCCUAAAGAUCUUUAAAAAAAUCAUCCAAAACACCUACAGAUCCUUAAGUAUAUGAACUUCACAUAGGUGCUCAAUGACUAUGGAUGUAUUCUCUCAACCACGAAACCAGAAAAAUACAUUGGUGUCAUUGCAUAUUAUUACAAGUAUUUCUCUAUUUAUAAAAAGAUUAAAGAAACCAUUGGUGUUAUUUGACACCAAUAAUUAUAUGCUGGCUACGCCCCCUAAAGAAACCAUUGGUGUUAUUUGACACCAAUAAUUAUAUGCUGGCUACGCCCCUGCUCUCAAUUUAAGCACUUACAUCUACGCCUUGUCUAAUGAAUUAUUUUGUACAAGGAAAAGGGAACAUGGUCCAUCCAUAUGCAAAAAUCUUUGUGUACAACCACUCGUACAAAUUUAGUCUCUCUCCAGGUUACUCCUUUACAAGAGAGAGAGUACUAGAGCACUAUGCAGUGUUGGUCAAAACCCAUAACUAAGAAGGGCCUAAGAAGCUUUAGAACCGGAUCUAGCCACUGCAGCAAGCUGCGCUAAGAAAAUUUCCAAGAUCGGGCGCAAGUACUUACCACGGCAAUGGAGCUUGUGGCGCUCAUGUAGGGAUAGGUAGCUGAUGCAGUGGUGAAAGUGAAAACUUGGAUUGUUUUGUUGUGCUGCCGGUUCUUCAUAUACUUGUUGGUCGGAUGAUGGUUGUUGGGUGUGUUGUUUGCUUGUAUCGCUGGUAACCCAGCUGAAUCUCCGGGCUUUCUAAUAAAACCGGGCUGAAAAAGCCUUUUUUCUAAAAAAAAGUACUUACCACGGCUCCAGGUAAAUAUAAAACUAUUGUUGACGACUUUGGUGGGGUCAACCAAAGCUGUAUUGAGCAAUAUAUAUGUACACAUACACAGAGAGCUCACAAACGACACAUCAAAAUGGCUGAGGUUUUCAAGCUCAGUUUCCUUGUUUUGUUUUCUGCAUAUAUGUGCUACCAUGUAUUUUUUUCUCCUGACUUUAAUACAAGCGCAGUAGGAGCCUGCUGUUUUCCCUUGUAAAAAAAAACAACACAUCAAAAACAAAUGAAGCCCAAUCAUUCAUCAAAUGGAGAGAAGUGCAGUUCCAAAAAAUAAAAAUAGCCUAUACCAACAACACCUCCAAGCUGCUGCCAUGAACCUGUUUGCAUCCUCUCAAUAUCCCUCCAAUCUGCAUCCUCACCAUCCAAGCAUCAAUCCCUUUGGUCAGCACCGCCAGCUCCCUGCAUACAACCAAGGGAACAUGCAAGUUCCAUACCAAACCAGUCCAGGCCACCCACACCUACCUACGGAGUCCAGCGGCUUAUUUGGAGCUUAUGGAGCAGGCAUUUCAGCAUCACCGUUCAAAUCCGGCACCUUCUUUGAGGGCUACGGAGCAGGCCUUUCAUUGUUGCCGGUCGAUUCCGCAUCUCCAAUGUCUGCAGCACAAAGGAACAUACAACAUGAAGUGGAACAUGAAGAAAGCAAAGAUAGCAGUCCAGAUCAAGAAAUAAGAAGAGGUCACAGUAAUUGGACAAAAAAAGGAGAACGAGAGAUUGAUCAACUCUUAGAUUAAAAAUUCCGUUGAUUCAAUUGAAGGCAAUGGAAAGAGAGGUGAUUAUUAUUGGAAGCAAGUAGCAGAGGAGCACACAAACAAGUGCCCUCCGCGAGAGAAAGCCUUUACUUUUAGUGGGUUGGUUUAGUUUGUGGUCUGGCUUGGAGCAGAAAAUAAGAUCAACUUUGCGAUGGACAAAAUAAGACAUGUUUCAAGCACGACAAUCAUGCAAAUAGCUAAAGAUGUGGAUUCAAGAAAGGAUGAGCAAAAUAAGAUACUUCCUCCGUCCAACAAAAGAUGUUUCAACUUUGACUAAAUUUGAAUGCAUCUAUACACUAAGUCAUGUCUAGAUACAUUCAAGUUUUGACAAACUUGAGACAUCUUUGUUGGAUGGAGGGAGUAUGUUGUUUUCUGAAGAAAAUUUAAAUGAAGGACGCGAUCCAUAAAUAACAUGAUGGGAUCCCAUAUUCUCAAUUUCUCAACAUAGUUGAUGCAUCACUGAUUACCCACAAUAAACGAGAGACAAAAUAAGGUUUUCAUUGUCCUUAUAGCCACUGGCAGGCACAACACACCAACCUAAAUACAGAAUAUUGCAUUAGCACACAUGAUUUGCUUAUAUUUUUUUUUUCUUACAGAAAACAUACUACUACUACCAACGCAAAAGAAAGCAAGAGAAUACAGAAAGAGGUAAAUGGGAACCAAAAACAUGAAUGUGUUAGGAAGAAAUGGAAGAAACAGACUUUUGUUAUCUCUUUAAAUGGUUCUGAAUUGUCCCUGUAUGAGAAUAAUGAAACAAAAGGCCAUAUGGUCCUAAAAUCAUAUAAGCUUCUUAAUCUUAUAGACCUUUUAGUUAGGAGAUAAUCACUUAUCGACCUCACAGAUCUGGAAAAGGCACCAUGGUUAUGGCAAGAGCAUUCCCGAGGUCAUUUGUUCUAGUGUGCUACAGCCAAAAAACGGCAAUUGCUAGUACAUGAAUUACACGAAAAGUGACUCCUGCAGAAGAGAUCAAUUGAUAAAAAAAAACCAAAGACAAAAUUCUGAUUAAUUAACUAAAAGCUAUGUACAUCAGAACCUGAAAUUAGAAACACAAACAAAAAUGGCAUGUACUCCCUCCGUUUCUAAAUAUAAGAAGUCCCAGCUUUGUUCUAAGUCAAACUUCUUAAGGUUUGACCAAGUUUUUAGAAAAAUCUACCAACAUUUAGAACUUCAAUUAGUUUUAUUAAAUUUGCCAUUAUAUAUAUUUUCAUAGUAACUCAUUUGAUAUUGUAGAUCUUGGUAAAUGUUUCUAGAAAGUUGGACAAAUUUUAAGAACUUUGACUUAAGACAAAGUUAGGACUUAUAUUUAGGAACGGAGGGAGUAGAAGUUUGGCAAAAUUCUGAAGAAAUCUACACUAGAACAGUAUGGGAUGAAGUAUACAUGCGAAUUUUGGAUUAAAAUAUGAUUGUGUGCAAAAAAAACAAAAUGGGCUUCUGCUAUAGUGGUAAACCUUGAACAGUAAAUUAUCUUUUUUCUUAAGGUUGUAAAUGCUUUAUUUGUUAACCAAAAUUUACGGGUACAAACUUGACCCCAUAGUGUAGAUCUACCGAUGUUUUCAAGAACUUCUAUGUGUCAUUUUAGUUCCCCACAAUUUGAGUACAGCGAACCUCAGGAUCAGAUUAUUAUGUUGCCUGUAACAACAGGCUUGGCAUAUUGAUGACCAAAAGGAAGUACUCAGUGAUCAGCAAGUGGAUAAGUGCCGCAACACAGUAGGCCACCAUCCUUGAUCUGCAGUGAGGAAUUUACCCCUGAUUUGUCUAGAGGAGAAGAGGUUCCGCUCCCUGUUGCAACGCCUUUCCUUCUGCCUCCGCCUUCUGCAGCUAAGCCCGAAUCUGGUUUAGUAAAAAUCAAGUGAAUAGUUAGAUGUACUAAUAUAGUCACCACCGUUGAACGGAACAAAACUUCAGAAUAUCGUUUUCAGUGGAUCAUAAAGAUUCAUAGGUUCAAGUCAAGUCACCUGCUGCCUGGAUUCCCAUCAAACACCCUAGUUGCCACAGAUACGAAAAAUCUGCACAUACAAACAUGCAUGUGAUCUGCCUGGAUUUUCAUCAAAUGCCUUGUCGACAUAGAUUAAAAGAAAUGCACAACCACCAUACAAAUGUACGUUAUUGUGACAAACUGAGAAUUGCCGCAUAAAUAAAAGGAAAGUUCAAUUCGUAAUGGAAACCGAAAGAAAGAUAAAUCCGUAAUGGAGCAUGGAUCAGAACUUCUCACAACUAAAUGAGCUGGAGGCAUGCUCAAGAGGCAUACGUAAAAACAGUUAGAAUCUAAUAUUGGUUGAUACAAAAUAAUAUUAGCAUUCAAGCAUUUCGAAGUGUUUGAAUAGACACGGUGCCUACAAGUUGAGGUUAUGGUCCUUAUCAAUUCAAUAAACAAUCGCUCCACAAUACAAACAUCAGUUCUACAGGCAUAUCAGUCUACAAUGCUAAACAAUGCCGUGAAGUACUUAGCUAUCAACAAUGUACCAUGACAAGAAUUUAGGAACGGAUGAAGUAAUUAUUAUAUUUAAAAUGAUUUGCGUCUACUAAAAGGAAAACCUGCACUGAACCCAACCCUGCAUCUUUUAGUUCAUUCAUUUGUUGAUAGCUACAACCAUUACAUGUUCAGAACUGGGGUUAGCAAUAAAAGAAUGAUUGUUUCCUUAGGCACAAUUUGAGAAGAAACUUCAGAGAAAGCUAACCAAAAGCAAAUGGCAAUUUACAUUGAUGAAGUUGUGCUACCGAGGAGAGUAUAAAAAAAUCGAUAGGUAUGUCAUACCUCAAGCGCUCUUUAAUUCUUUAUAACAUAGAACAAUAUUCAUAUCAUUUUCAGAGUUCGCACAUUAGAAGGAAUAAAAUGGGUGCCAUAUUAGACAAAGAGGAGCAGAAGAAACCUUCUGACGUGCUUCACUGCACCCAUCAGAAUAGAGUGGCACGAGAUAUAUUAAUUUCACCUGCAACAGUAGAGCAAACUGAAGAGUUUUACCAUUUGCUAAGGUGAUGCAGAAAUAAAAAACAAUGCAAUUACUACCAGAAUACCUUGUUGACCUGUCCAGAAACACUCUUAGUGAAUGCCAUAAGUUACAAAUAAUUUACAGAAGGGAGCAACCUGUAAAGGAGAUCUCUCCACUUGCAUUAGUUGUUGACUUGUUGUUUGCAGGAAUUCUUUUGCUAUAGCGCAUGGAGUGUCCGCACAGUGAAAUUAUGAAACAUACUCUAAUCAAGCAUAAAUUAAUUCCUCGAGAAUCUUACAAGUGCCGAGCAAAUUUCUUUAUCCCCACGUAAACUACCAAAGCAAGAACCGGAAAAAAAAACAAAAUUCUAAUACAAAAAAUUAUUCAGCACUUCUAAUGGAAGAUGAUCUCAUCGAAUGACCUUAGCAAGGGCUCAACCACAUGAUGCAAAACUGUCCGGCUUUGGUAUUGAGAACUAGACUUCCCAAGGAUCAAGCCUAAAGGUCCGGUAGCCAUACACUUUGUGUGCAAUGGAGCCCAACAAAAACAACCAUUGUAAGGAUUGGAAGCUCGGAUGAUCAAUUUCCUUUCGGGUGUUGUUUGCCCUGACCGACUACCCAUCUGUCCAAAUCUUCAAAUCGAUCGAUUCCUGCUCUCUGCCAGCUGGCAUAGAUUUUCUCUUUCGUCAAUUUGGAUGCUCCGCGAUUCCACUCUUCGGCAGAUUUUUCUCUAGGUCAGAAUCACGGAAAUAAGAAAAAGUGCUUUAUGCAUGAACCAUUGUCCGGAGAACACAAGAAUAUGCAUGAACUCAUUUAGCAUUUUUAUUGUUGAACACACAACAAGAAAAAACAAACUAUUAAAAAGAAUAUGACUUCUUAUUAACUUGAAUAUAACCUGACCUGUCCUAUCAAAAUAAAUGUAUGUAACUAUCUACACAACUUGGAAGCACUGACCUUAAUAUUGCAGAAAGUGCUCCUUUCAAGUUUCAACUGCUGUGAAUUUGCUGACCACUAUUGUCCAUCCUGGAAUUUUGGCAAUGUACAGUAAACCACUGGACACAUUGCAAUUCGCAAGUAUGAUUCUUGCACUGAAAGGUUUUCUUCAUUUUUCUACUUUUUCUCCAGACAAAUAUAACAACAUAUGAUUUGGCACGGAAACACAAACAGCAUACCUGACUGCCUAAGUGAAAAAGUCAUCAGUGGGACUUCCCUGUCUUGCCUUGGCAUUCAAUAGCACUUGGCGGACCGACUCACUUGUUUGUACACCAGCACGCACCAUGUCAUCAAUCAGAGCUUCAGCUUCCGAACAUUUACCGUCAUUGCAAAGAAUACGGAUUGUCAGGCCAUAACUAGCGGAAUUUGGAACAAAGCCCUUUUUCCUCAUCUCCAUAAUUAAUUUCAUAGCCUUGUAAGAGCUUCCUUCUCGUCCAUAGCCAUAAAUCAACAUGUCAUAGAUGACAUUGCCCACCUGAAGACCUUUCUCGCCUAUUGACUGGAACAAUUUUCUGGCAUCCUUCAUGUUCCCUUCCAUGCAGAGAGCAUGCACCAAAACACCGUAAGUGCGCACAUCCACCUCUAAACCAGCCUUCUCCAUCCCUGCAAACAUCUCAAAAGCCUUGUCCAUGUCAUUCUCCCGAGCAAAUGCAUCAAUCAGUAUGGUGUACGUCACUUUUGUGGGUGCCAAUCCUCGCUCCUUCAUGUCAGAGAAAGCCCUGUUUGCACGGAUCAUAUCUCUAGCACGACAGAACCCGGCAAUAAGAGCAUUAUACGUGACAGCACUGGGUUGAUACCCAGCCAUCCUCAUUUGGUUGGAGAAAUGCAAAGCAUUGGACAUCUUCCCAGCUUUGCCAUAUCCAUCGACAAGAAGGUUGAACGUCACGACACUUGGACGGAUACCCUCUCUUCGCAUCAAUUCCAGCAGCUGGGUGGCAUCCUUCAUCUUUCUAUAUCUGCAUAGCCCAGCAAUGAGAGUGUUAUAGCUGACAACAUUGCGUGUGAUACCCUUUGCAGGCAUUUCUUCAAACAGGAGGCGGGCACGCUCAAAUUCCCCAGUCCUGCACCACUCACCAACCAAAAUGUUGUAGGUGUAGAGAUUUGGCUCAAUUCCACCUAUCCGCAUCUUCUCAAACAAGGCCAAGCCCUUCUCUCUGCGUCCAUGGAUGAAGUAACCGUGGAUCAGAGCAGUGAAAGUGACCUCGUUAGGGGUCAAUCCCAAGCGCGGCAUUACGUCGAACACCCUCUGUGCUUCCGCCACGUCGCCGCUCCUGCAGUAGCCGUGGACGAGCGCUGUGCACGCGGCCACGUCCAGCGUCGUGUCGCCCGCCUUUGCGCCACGGGCGAGCAAAGCGAGGGCCGAUCGCACCUCGCCGGCGGCGGAGAGACGGCGCACGGCUACGGCUGUGGUCGCUGCCAUGGGGGGGAGAUUCACCUUUUCCUGCCCUUUUCUGAAGUUUGGCUUGGUUCUGGUAAGAUCUCUCUCCCGGUAACCCUGAGUCAGCAAGCACCCAGGCGACAAGAACACUGCAAACCUUCACGAGGCUGCGAUGUGAUCGAGCAGUUCUUAAUCUCUCAUCUCAUUUCAUCAGUAAGGAAGGGGGAAAACGCACCUACAACAACGCCACCGCGCCCGUGGUAGUUGCGUCCGUGGUAGGUAGGCUCGCGAAAACAACAACCGCGCGCUAUCCCCACGCGUGAUCACUGCCGCGAUUAACUCCAACUCUCCCGAUGAUUUCCAAUCCCGCAAUUAUCUCCGCAACCAAAAUUACAACAAUGCCACCGCGCACGAGCACGAUCGAUAUGCUCCCCCGACCGAGGUGGCAAUUGGCAACUUUCGUGCGCCACCGUUCUCCCUUCACCGCACCAAAUCCUCCCUAGCGGCCUAGCGGCGAACGAAGAUGACGGCUGCUGCUGCCUGUUGGCCACAGCCGAGGCCGCGUUCGGCAGGGGCGGGACCGGGCCACUGGUCAUCGGCAGCGUCCCUCGCGCACACGCCUUCGGCCGCUCCUCCUCUCACACAAAGCAACGGCGGACAACGACGACAAUGGCCGCCGCCGCCCCCUGUUGGCCAACGUCGAGGACGCGCUCGGCGGGGAACAGCACCGGGCUUCGGUCCGUCAUCGGCUUCCCUCGAGCGGCCUUCAUCAGCGUAUGGUGAUGCACCUCCCUCCUCGUAUCGGUCCGCCCCCGCGCUCUCGCCCCUCUCACCCCGCGCGCCGCUCCUUCUCUCCCCGCCUCUGUGCACCCGCUACUUCAGCUUCCACCUCUGAACGCCCACCACGGAGCUCGCCGCCCCGACAGGCAUGGCCAACACGGACGCCGUCCUCCGCUCCCUCUCCGUCCCUGCCUCCCGUCUUCCCGAUCUGCGUGGGCGUGGAGAGCUUCCUCCUCUGCGGAUCCAGCCGCCCCGACCGGCAGGGCCACCACCAGCCGCCGCCGGCCAUCCUGGAAGAUCUACUGCUGCCAAAUUUGUUGAUGCAAAUCGGUUUCUAGGUCCUUCAGAAGAUAUGUAUCAGGAGAAGAAGGCAUUAUACAAGCUAAUUUCAGGAUUGCACUCCUCAAUUUCUGUACACAUUGCUUAUUACGGUUAUAUUCUAGACGAAUCUGCUAACUUGGUGUCUACCCACCACCGUACAACGUCCUGUUCAUAGUGCAAUUAUGGACUGAAGAUUUUGUUUUCUGUUGAUGGAGAGAACAAUUUGAAUCAACAGGUAUGGUGUUCUUAUCUCUUUGGGCUACCGCCAGUUUGCAACACAAAGUAAGAUAGGGUAGAUGCCGUGCGUUUGGUUGGUCCAUGUUCCAGCUUGAGAGCAUUCCCCAACAUUUUGCCUUUAUAUGACCCAAGUUACCUGCACAUGAUGCUUUCCCAUAUUGGUUACCUACAAUUUGCUGUGGAAUAACAUCUUUCUUAAAAAAGAACUCUGGCUCCUAUGUGAAUAUUGAAUAAAUCAAAUUAUGGAAGUUAGCUCACGUGAGAGAAAAAAACACUUACGUCUCUUUGAGUGUUUGUUUCUCUGAAACUAUCUGAAUCUACCUUUUGAAUUCAUUUAAGAUGUUCACAGUGCUGAUUUGUCUUACAAUUUUUCUUCUUGGUUAUUAUUCAGUUCCGUCUGCAGCUAAACGAGGUCAUUGCACUGGUAAAUCUUCUGAACGGGCUGUUAGAAUCUGUCAAAUUUGCGUACAUGAAAAAUGACCAUCCACCGACGAAGGAAUUAACCUGAAUCUCAACCGUAAGUGUUACCUCUUGCUCAUCAGUGGUAUUGAACUAUUGAUUUGUGUUGACCACUUGAUGUCUGCUCGUAUCCUUGCAUUCUUUCGUCUAUUUGAAUGAGCAUUCUUUCUUAUCAAACUGUGUGAGCUAAGGUUUUUCACAUUGUAUGAUGCAUAUAUUCCUUGUAAAGUUUUUCGGAUUCCGUACAUAUGAGAAAUGAGAAAUUAUGUUUUCUCUCAAGAUAUAUAUGAGAAAUAAAAGGUAUAGGUAAUAUCGGGAUACCCUGCUAUGAUGGGCGUUGUCUUUUUGUUGUGAGUAGUUCCAUAUGAGCUAUUUGUUUUUUUUCCUUUUCGUGGUUUGUUCCUAUACUGUUCCUUAUGCAUAUGGUAACCAUGUUUUUUAUGAAAUGCACGUCAUGGUAGUCUGUUCUCUUCCCCCGUUUGAUCUACAUGCCUUGUGGUGAACUGAGCUUAUUUUGUCUUACACACAUUCAUGAAUUGUUUUUGCAAGAGCUCUUUUACGGUGAUUGUCGUGUACUUCUCAGUAUUUUUCGGUACUCCCGCCGAAAUUAAUUAUGUUCGUUGAUCUUUACUCAGAGGUUGUUUGUUUCCCUGGGCCGCAACUGGCUAACGGGCUGUUUGGUUUCCCCGGGCCGCCGGAUGUAAUGCCCGUCUCUCUCCCUGCAUCGAUACUCUUCCUCGCUCCCCUAGCGUCGGCCGCCCGAGCGAGGCCCCUCCGCCGCCCGAGCCCUUCUCGUCGACCACCGGCGCGCCGCCCCUCCGCCACCGGCACUUCUCCGCUGGCGGGGCGCCUCCUCGGCCGCCCACGCGCCUCCGACAAUCGUCCAGGCGGCUCCCGCGGAUGAAGCCGUAGCCCAGCCAGGUCCACCACGGCGCCAUCCCCCAUUGGCAGGUCUGAAGAGGCAUUGGACGGUGACGAUGCGGACGGCUCCUUGCAGCGCCCCUGCCAUGUCCUUCCUUUGACUCGCGGCGACCUCCUUGACUGCAGCGACGGUUGAGCUGCCUCCAGCAACGGCGACCGUGGAUACGUCUCACCCUGCCGUGUGGUAUUGCCCCAGGCGAUGGCUACUUGGGCUGAAUUUGGGUGUUCUGUUGUGCUGAUUUUUUUUGAACCAGCUGCACUGAAAGUUUUGCUGUACUGAAUUUGGGUGUUCUGCUGGCUGAUGAUGUAUUUUUGAAGAUGUUGGCUCCUGUGUUGCUGAAGCCUGAAGCUCCUGUGUUGCUGAAUGUACAGAAAUUUAUGGUGUGCGCUAUUUUAGUUCUUCCUCUGUCCCAUAUUAAGUGAUUCAAAUUUGUCCAAAUAUGGAUGGAUCUAUGCUUAAAAAAUGUCUAGAUACAUGUCAUAGAAAGUCACUUAACAUGGGACGGAGGGAGUAGUUAUUUAGGCAGGCUUUUCAAUCUGAAUGUGAAUGUAGAAAAAUCUCAUGUAUUUUGGAUGUGAAUGUACAUAAAUUUCAUCUAUUAUGUCAGUGUAUGGAAAUCUCAUGGCAUACAUUUUGUAGCAUGGUUCUGGUCACCUCAUCAUAGAAAUGAAACACUUAUCUUUUGCCGCAAAUCAGGUUUUCGGUAAAUCUGAUUGUCUUUGUGCCAAAGCAGACACAUUUCUGGAACAUAAUAAAUUACGACAAGGCCAAGGGUAGGUUUUGUUGAAGCUCCACAAUACAUGUCAAACUGUAGCUUAUCUCUUGAUAUGAAUACUAAAUCUGAAUGUUGUGUUUUGUGUUGAUGAGAUAUUCAUAUUCAUAAACAAAAAUGUAAACCUAUUGCCUAAGUCUGAAUGCUUCUUGUUCACUAAAAGAUGAGAUUUCAGUACAUUGUCAUAAUAUAUGAGAUCUCAGUACAUAUCUCAUUCCAGAAAUUUCUGUACUAUCUCAUAACACCAUUGCUAUUUUGUACAGCAGAUAACAGCUUCAGGUUAAAGAGCAGACACAGGUUCAGCAAACAGCAAGCUUUAGCAAACAACAAGGACCAAUUUGAAUUCAGGAAACAGCGAGCAUCUAAUUUGAUUCAACAAACAAAGAGCAUCCAAUUCAACUAAGCUAACAUCAGUCUUCCAUUUCAAUUUAGCUAACAUCAUGGGGACGCCGCCACCGUUGCGUGGGGCUGCUGCCACCAGAGCAUGGGGACGCCGCCUGCCCGUGGUUCUGCCGCUGUCGCCAGAGCAUGGGGGCAGCUCCACCCGCCCCCGUUCCUGGGGGAUCCUCUGCCCGUGCGUGUGGUUAAACCUCUGCCUCCAGCGCAUGGGGCCGUGGCUACCGCCGCCUGCGCCUGUGUACAGCGCCGUCCGCCGUUAGCACCUACACAAAGCCGUCGGCCGUCGGCCUCCUUAAAGCUCGGGCUAGGUAUUGCAAUCGACACAGACAAGAGGGUGCCGGUUCAGAGCAGAGGGAAAGAAACAAGUGGUUUUUUCUCAAAAUCGCGUUAAAGUUAUGGGUGGGAUUCCCACCUCUCAUCUGAGCCGCACGUCGCAUAUCUAAUGGCGAACUAUCGAUUCUUUUAGUUUAAAUAUAAAUUGAUAAUUCUAAUACUUUCCAGUACUUUUGUUUUAGUACUUUUCAGUACUUCUUAUUUUUCCACCGUUCGAUUAAUUAGGUUGAACGGUUCAUAAAAUCGCCAACCACUGUAAAACCUGUAUUUUUGCAAUUAUCAAACUGCCAUGAUCACCAUUUUUGGUCCUGAGUCAGUGUUCCUACUGCUGCUCCUGAAUCUGGGAUCAGGUGGAUGGACCUUUUUCCAAAUAUUCACCUGGUGAUCGAAUAGAUAAAUUUAAGGAACCUGAUUUUGUGUACAAUGAAAAGAUCCCACCGUGGAAAUCAUUGCAAAGGAAAUACAUAUCAUGUUGCAAAAAUUGAUAUCACGAAAAAAAUGUCUUUGAAAUAUUUCGUUGUAAUUUUUAGUUAUAUGGGUUGCUUCGUAAUUCCUUGGAUCCAUGAUCGGAAGCACCAUACUACUUGUAAAGACUAUAGAGUUUGAAUAAACUUACUUGUAUUCUCAAAAAAAAAAAAGCUAGCUACUCCGUAAAAGCAACGUACAUAUCUCUUUGGUCCUUUUGAUAUUAACGUCCCUACGAAAAGGAAAUUAAACUGCAUGGGCGUGAAGGAAGAGAAAAAAGAGAAAGAGGACGAACUCCCUGACAUUAUUAGGUGGUGGUAGUAGUAGGGGUAAUAUGUGAUAUCCAUUCAUCCAUAGCGACUGUGAAUUUCUUGAAAAGAAACGACGUCGGCGCGUACUGAACAUCGUAGCCUCGUACGUAGUACGACGCAGUAGGAACGAAGGAACUCAUGGCGUACGUGCACGAACCAGCUGCCACCCGAGAAUUAACGACCGUUGCAGAAGAGUCGCAGGCGCACCCAUAUUGGCAUGGCGAUCAUAACACGAGUACUCCAUUUCCGAGAGAUCGAACAAGAUUACAAGAAAGGUUCUCUCCUUUUUGUUUGUACCCCGGCCGGUUUGCGCCAUUUCUGACCUAAAAAACAUCAGUUAUAUGUAAUCGGAGGGAGUAGCAUUGGUCAUGUCUACGGGCCUUUGCCGACAUGGAGCACACACGCACUUGAAUACUUGAUCGACACGAAUCUUCACCGGUGGUUACGCUUCUCCACACGCGCCGUGUUAGCUUAGCUUAGCUAGCUAGGGUCAAAUCUUGCGCUCUGGCCGGCCGGCCUCGCUCCGUACUACACAGACACAGUGCUGUGCUGUGCUGUGCUACGACAGUCGACAUUAUUAACCUGCAGCGCGACCUGGCCUGUGUGCGUCGGCGGUCAUCGAUCGAGGCCCGGUCGUUGUCGUACGUGCUGGGCCACGAGCUCAGGUCGACCAAAGAGAGAUUGAUUAAUCGGCAAGUCAUCCACAGUGGAGAGAGGUCGAUGCAUCAGUCGUCGCAUCGGACCCGCCAGCCGGCCCCCACGCGUUUCUGUCGUCCACGUACGGGACGCCGACGCGCGUCGUCGCUCCUCUCGAGGCCUCGGGUGGUUAGUUAUCAGCUACUACCUCAGUACACGAGCCACGCACGUGCCCUAGAUUAAUUACAAAUUUAACUAUCAAAAUAUAAAUUAUAUUUCAUAAAAAAUAUAUCAUUAGAUUCGUAAUCAAAUAAACUUUCUAAUGGUGUGUCUUUUAAGUCAUAUAAUUUAUAUUUUGACAGAUAAAUUCACGAUUUUGGAACACAUGCAUGUCUCGGGACGGAGGAAGUAGCUGGCUAGCCCUUUUUCCUUUGCGUUUAAAUGAUGUUUACAAGGAAUGAACAUUCCCAUUUCCUCUACUAGCCUAGGUAGUUUCAGAAACGAUAUGAUGCUCGCGAGCUAGCCAACUAGCGUGGCAUUGUAUUUGUAGCUAGCUAGGCUGCUCGAUUUACUUGCCUUUUAGCCUAGGGAGAGCGUCGUCGUGUUCGAUUCCAGGAUCGGAGUACCAGACGGCGGGACAAAUUGAUCGACCACCUCAUCGAUCGAUUUAAUUUCCUAGCUCAUGCUAGAUCUCACUUUUGCUUCCCAUCGUAUGACAACUGUAAUUGCCAAGGCAUAUAUUGGAGUACAAAACUAUGUCUUACUGCUACUCAUUUGGAUGCUUUACAAUUGGUUGAUGGUGCACGAGAUAAGUACUAAAUUUUUGUCAUGAUUUUAGUUUGAAUUUAAACUAAAACAACGAUAAGAAUUUAGAAAAAAAACGGAGGGAGUAUGCAUCAACGAUGUCUAUGUAUUUUGAGAAAUACCGAUUCUGAAGACCUUCCGUGUGAAAUUAUUGGAAUUUCAAUGAACUCAUUUAUUUUAUUAAAUGGGGUCUCUUGAGACCAUUUCUUUCAAAAAUUAAAGGUAAAACCUUCCGCCUACAUUUUCAGAUGCACUCAACAUAUUUUUAUUAUUAAAAAGGAUGCUAGAAAUCAAGGCCAAUCAAAUCAAUAAAAAGGAAAUUUUGGUAUCAAACUUCUUUAGUACAAAGAUGGCAUCACAACAACCAUCCGUCAACGUGCCGCCAUCCUGCAUUGCGGCUAGAGCUGCAAGUUUGUGACCCUCAGGGUACCCAUUGACUCUCCUUAGUUCAACCAAAUGAACUGGUUUUUUCAAAAAGUUGUGUCAUUUUAAAAUUUUAGUUCAUUUGAUUGAACUAAGGAGGGUCAAUGAGGACCCUGAGGGUCACAAACUUGCAGCUCUAAUUGCGGCCCAAACCCCCUACCGGGGUGUACCGUCAAGUCGAUAAGGUACUACAAAGCCACACAUACGUCUUUGGAGACAACUACAUGAGCACCAUGCCGACGACCGUGUCAUCUUCCCGUGAGAUCCUCAUUUAUCCCCUAUCCCCUCACCGCCGUCUGAGAAGGAUACCAGGCUCAUGUGGCCAACAAUGAAGACGGUGGCAAGUUUUUUUUUUCUUUUGUCCAAGAUUAUUUUUGACACAUCCAUAAUUUGGAGAUGAGCAGCGAAAUAAUUUUAAAAAUCGUACUUAAAAUAACAAGCCAAAAGAGUUUACCCGUAUAGAUGCUUAAUUAAUUAAUUAUUAGGUUAGCUCAGCCCCCUUUUGUCAAUUAAUAAACUAUUUUGUCACGAGCAGCAAUAACUCGAAACAAUAUGAAACAGGGGGUGCGUAGAAAACAUGUGAUGUCAAAUGAUUGCAGCAAUUAUUUACUCGAAACUCUGUUUUUUAGAGAAUUUGUUUCAACACUCAACCUUGUGCGUCGUGACCCGUACUCUUAUUCAUCCUCCACCACCUGGUCAAACGUCGUGCAUGUUUUGUGUAAAAUAUUGCGCACUGACACCUCACUGAUUAUUAACUCAUAAAAUAGGAGUACUUUCAAUCCACAUAAAGUGUCAGAAGUUUAGUGUAAAGUUGUAAUAACUUUGUACUAAUUCUCAACACUUAUGAGUUGGAGGGAGAAACACAGAAGAACUGAUAUUUUAGGCAACCUUGGUUUCUUCUCAAAAUUUCUCUAGUCACAACUAAUAAAGAACGUGCAUGCAUUUUCGUGCGGACAUGUUACACUUUUUAGAGGGGAAUUCGAUCGACACAUCCCUUUUUGAAUGACUUUUGUGUGGAACAAGCAUGCAGCUACAGAGCUACUCCGACUCGUAUUUUCUCUUCCCAAAUGAAAUGAAACGGAACAGUACUAGUAACUGGCAUGUGAUUUCUGUGUUGACUUAGCUCAGACUUGCUUGAAGUCCUAGUCCACGUCAACUACAAUGAAGCGGGUGGGUGUUAUGUUGAUAUCUCGGAUCUGGACCCAUGCGCUCCUGCUUCUUUGUCCUGCGCAUCCCUCUUUCUUCUUUUCUUGCCAUCAUUCAAUCCUAGCCAUUUACCAUUCUCCGUAGCUACUAAGCUGCUGCUGGAGCCCACAACUUGACCACCACUUCAAUUGAGAGCAAAUGUGUUUUUACAGCUGUAUUAAAGAUAACAUACGCAGACAUAUAGGGAAAAAGAGUGCUUGUUAGAAUGAACUCCAUUUUUUAUUAAACAAGUUUGUAAUACUCUCUUUUUUAAUUGUCUUGACAGCAACGGUUAGAAAGGGCCAAUCAACUUCUUGACCAGCUAGCCUCCAAUCACUUCAGCUUCGAUCCUAUCCCUUGUUUGCAUCGGUGCUGGACCGUGUGGCAAUUCGUUUUUUAAAGAGUGGAUUUUAUUUUUGAUCUUUAAGUUUACACUUUUUUUUGACAGGUUUAAUCCUAUUUAGUAUUUAGCAAAACUUGUGCACUAAUGACCCCAUUUAAGUUUUUUGUCCUAAUCCCCUCCGUCCUGACAAGUGGGACCUGCCUGAGUAGAAGACGCAAGAGAGGCAGAGCGAAAGAGAGCCCGUCGGGUCAGGUGUGUGGGGUUUGGGUUGGGCGGCACCAGGUCGAGUGGGGUUCGGAAGAUGCCUGGGUUGGACAGGUUCGGUUCAUCUCUGGCGUGCCAGGCCGGUUCAUUCGGCCGGACCGAAACAAAUGCAGCGAUGCGGAGGAAGCGCACAUGAGAAAAUACCUGUCCGACGUGGAAUGCCACGUAGGCCUGAAACGUGGGCCCCACCUGUAAGCCGGAGGGGAUUAGGGCACAAAAAUGAAAUGGGAUCAAUAGUGGCAGAAGUCUAAAAAAAUGUUAGGUUCAAGCAUAUAUCUUGUUGAUCAUACUAUGGAGUAUAAAGGUGUUAUCAUGUUGUUUCUGUUUUAGUUUACAUGCCACAAUAGUUCUAUUGACCAAAAUAAUACAGGACGUAGCCAAAAUUACAUUAAUCAUGAAUGGAUUAAGAGGAAGCGAGAAAGCUACUCCACUCUAGCCAUAUCGUAACCUAACACGUGGCGCAGAUGCACGGUAGUAAUACUGGUGAUGUCAAGUCAAGAAAAGAAAAUGGAAGCCACGCAAAAAAAGAAAAACUGCGCAUGCGUGCAUGAAAGGAAAACACAGAAAUGAUAUCAUUGCUAGCUACAAAACAGUCAAAACUAGGACUCGGCUUGACCGGUGCAAUAAUAUAUAAGGAGGACUUAAAAAGAUAUACAGUAGCAAAUAUAAGCAAAAUUAUCGUGAGAGGAGUCCAAGUGAAGAUUAUAGAGCAGGGACCCAAAGAAAGAAUUAAAGCAAGGGAAGCACUAAGAGACAAACAAACAAGGCUGGCCACGAUGAAAGGACGAGGUACGAAUACGACGCCAACCAAAACCAGGCAAAACUCACCCAACUGUGUACGUGCAUUAUUGAGCUCUCUCGCUUAAUCUAAGGAUAAAAUCACUGCUGGUGAAUCAGCAGUAGGUACAUAUACACAGUUCAAUUCACCGGUGGGAGAUACUAAUAUAUACGAAGUACACAGUAUGGCUCAUAAGGCACCAUCCGGCCUUUUUUUCUUUCUUUUUGUAGAACGGCACUUUAGCACUCCGCGCGUGCAACCACUAAAAGUUACUUCUUCCGUUUUAUAAUUUUUGUCCCAAAUUUGCUCAAAAAUAAAUAUAUUUAUUUUUAAAAAGUGUUUAAAUACACGUAAGAUUUCGACGAGAACUAUGAAACGAAACGGAAGUAGUAAUAAACUUUGGAGGCCCUGCGAAAAACAAAAGCUUUGGAGGCACCUCCGCGGCUCCGAACCUGUAGACUGCAUGUACAGUCCGGCCGGGACCAUUACCAUUUUUCUACUCAUUAGACUAUGAUAGCCCCUUUUUAGCUACGGGUCUCUCUUGACAGUUCACACGCUCCCUUCUCCGAUCCUCUCUCGCUCGUUCCAAUCAAUCUCCAAGAAACAAAACCUGCGCUAAUCCAACACGGCAACAACCAACCACGGCACCCAGACGCCACAAGAAGCACAGCCAAACAACCAUGCAUACAUGUGUUUCUCGCUCCACAGCCAUAGGUUAAUAAGCUUACUAUACAAACCCCCAACCCCACCCCUCUCCAUCUCUCUCCUCUAUUCUAUCUCUCUCUCUCUCUAUGUAGCCAGUUGUCUGCUCUCGUCGCAGCAAUUCGCACGCAGGAUACCCCGGCCGGUUCUCCCUUGUUCUUGAAUUCCAGGUCAAGAACUCAAGCUAGCUGCUGCCUGCGCGCGCUGAAGCACGUCGUCAAGGUUACUACUGCUGCCUGCCUCUGUCCUCUAAUUUUAUUGCUUAAUUUGUCUGUCUGAAUUUCUUGUGCUCCUCCAUGUUCAAUUUUCUCUGGCGACUUUGGUGAUGGUUGAUAAGUUCAAGUUUGUUCACUCCUAGCUUCUUCUUCCCUCUCUCUGUUUUUCCUCCUCUCUUUAAUUGGGUUGCUCAGAUGACUGAUAAAUUUUGGUCUGAUGAUAUCCGGAUCCAAAACUUCCGAGUCCCUUUCUACUGUGGUUAUUGUCUAGCGUCUUAGGGAUGAGUUAUCUGAAAAUCGAUCAUGUGGACUGCAAUUUUAUCAUCAUAGUUGCUGUCUACCAUUUUUCUUCUUCUUCUCGACAAGCUUGUCCCUCAUGUUUUUACGAAAUUCAUCCUAUACUAUACACGCUCUCGAAAACAAAAGAAAUUCUUGGGACUAAAUGUGAACCAGAGCCAAGUUCUCCAAAAAAAAAUGCAUCUAAAAUUUGUUUUUGUCAAUCCAGAUCUGCUCCCUUGGCUGGUACACCUAUGCUUCCUGUUGGCUACUAGUACAAGUACGGCUUAGCAAUUAAUCAUCUGUUAAAUGAAGUGGCCGAAUUUCCCGGCGAUACCCAUGGAUUUGGUGAGGAUAUUUAUUGCCUGAUUCUGGUAUCUGGUGAUGGCCUCCCUCUCUACAUCCAUCAUGGAGAGCUUCCCCUAAACUCAAUGGCGACACCCCCACCAUACCAUAUUCUAUGGAGAGCUCCAUCACCUGCCUACCUUUUCGUCCAUGAUGUGCCACAGCCCCAUAAGCGUUUCAUUGAACGAUUCAGAUGCUACUUUUCCGACGUGCGACUUGUGCUGCUUCAUUUAUGCCAUCUCAUCACCCAUCCCUGUUAAUCAAGCUUUGCGUCUUCCACACAAACAAGUUGUUUUAAUUUAGAAUCCUUUUUCAUACCAACCCUAACCUCAUGCUUUCUUUCAUUUCGAUAUAGUUUAGAAUCCAAGCUUCUGUUAGGUUCCAAAAAUUGCUAACCGCUAGCAGCGAUUGUAGAGUCUUAACUGGUAAAUUAUACAGUCUUAAACUGGUAAAUUAAGUACAGUCUUAAGUCUUAAUUGGUAAAUUGUAGGGUAACGGGCAGGGAUACCUUUUUCUGUGCAUGUUAUUGUAGUGGACGUCUCAAUCAGAGAGGAGGUGGCCGGUGGCCUCUCGCUGUCUCUGCACCCACGUCUGGUCUACCAAAUGCCGCUGAUGGUCAUGCUUUGUAGGCUUUUAUAUACAUAGCAGCACAUUAUACUUAUGCAUGCAAUUUUCAUUUUCUGGGGGUGGAUUUAAGAUGUGGGAUUAGAUUUUGGCUGACUGUGUGUGCACCAACAGAUGUCAUCGCCAGUGUUGCAUUCCAUCGAAAAAGGAACAGCACUAGAUGAGUCAAUGAAUGACUGAUUGCCCAAGUUGUGAUGAAUUAAUACACCAAUUAUUACAAGUCAUGGCUUGCAAUGUUAAAAAGCCUAAAUUGGAAGCUCAAAUUUCAUAUAUGCCACAUGGUCUGAAAAACAACACUUUUUCUUCUUUAUAUAAUUUCAGUUGUUGUCAACACUUUCUAGUCGACUUUUAGUACCUGAUAUAUGGUUCAAACAAACCCUUGAUUCCUGCUACCAUUCGAUUCCUUGGGAACAAAAAACUUUUGAGGAUCACGAAGAAUAUUUCCUUUUCACAUUUCGUGCCUGGCAUCUUGAAACAAGCAACCGAUUCCUACUACCAGUAUUUGAUUCUUUGGCACGUCACUGAUUCCUGCUACCAAUGUUUGAUUCUUUGGAACUAUUUUGGGCAUCACCAAUAAAAUCUAUUGCACUUUUAGUACCUGAUAUAUGCUUCAAAUAUCCUAUUGAUUCCUUCUACCAAUGUUUUAUUCCUUUGGGAGUUGUGACGAAGUAAAACUUGUGGGCAUCCGCAAGAAUAUUUCUGCAACCAACUUCCAACUGGCACAACUUUCUUCCUUAUUUCCGUAUACAUUUUUCAAAACAGGUAGUUACAAGCUGCUGGCUUGUUACUGAAGUUUUUGCACUCACAGAUUACUAAAUACAUAUACUUGUUCCUAUUUCAGAUUAAGGCGAAUCAGUUCGGAGGUGGCGACCCAACAUGAGCAAUCUUAAGCUCGGUGUUGAAGUUGUCAGUGCUCAUGACCUCAUCCCGAAAGAGCAGGGGACAGCCAAUGCCUUUGUAGAGGUCGAAUUCGAUGACCAGAAGUUCCGCACAGCCAUAAAAGACAGGGACAUUAACCCUGUCUGGAACGAGCAGUUCUUCUUCAACAUAUCCGAUCCUUCACGUCUUCAGGAGAAAGAGCUCGAGGCCUAUGUGUACCAUGCAAACCGUGUCAGCAAUAACAAGACAUGCCUCGGCAAGGUUCGCAUCUCCGGUACAUCGUUUGUCAGCCAAUCUGAUGCAGCACCCCUGCAUUACCCUCUGGAGAAGCGCACAAUCUUGUCACGUGCUCGUGGCGAGCUUGGUCUUAGAGUCUUCCUUACAGAUGAUCCGUCAGUGAGGGUGUCCGCUCCAGGUCAGGAUUUUAAUUUUGCAAGCACACCCACCACUGCCCAAGAGCAGGCAACUGUCAAUUCUAUUCCAAAUCCUUUCCAAGAAACCAGGACAAAUGAAGUGAGGCAAUUCCAACACUUACCACGGGAACAGCAGCGACCAGCCCCGAUGGCGGGGCAGCAAUACUACGCUCAGGGACAGGGUUCAUAUGGAGAUCAGCAGCAGAGAAACUACGCCGCUGCUGGGAACAAACCUGAAGCCCCUCAAGUAAGGAUGUAUUCUGCAGGUCCACAGCAGCCUGUAGACUUUCAGCUGAAGGAGACAAGCCCAACGCUUGGUGGUGGGCGUAUUGUUCAUGGUCGGGUGAUGCCUGGUGAAAAGGCUGGGGCAUAUGACCUUGUGGAGAAGAUGCACAUCCUCUUUGUGCGUGUAGUCAAGGCCCGUGAGCUGCCCCACAUGGACCUCACAGGGAGUCUUGACCCUUAUGUUGAGGUGCACCUUGGGAACUACAAAAUGAAAACAAAGUUCUUCGAGAAGAACCAGAGGCCUGAGUGGGAUGAGGUGUUUGCAUUCCCUAAGGAAGUAGUGCAGUCAUCAACACUUGAAGUUGUUGUGAAGGAUAAGGACAUCCUUCGGGAUGACUAUGUCGGCCGAGUAAUGCUUGACCUGAAUGAGGUGCCUGUAAGGGUCCCUCCUGACAGUCCAUUGGCGCCAGAGUGGUAUCGCCUUAUGGGCAAGGAUGGGAUGAGGGACAGAGGGGAGUUAAUGCUCGCAGUAUGGUAUGGAACUCAAGCAGAUGAAUGCUUCCCAAGCGCCAUUCAUGCAGGAUCAACACCAAUUGAUUCCCAUUUCCACAACUAUAUCCGUGGUAAGGUCUACCCUGCACCAAGAAUGUGGUAUGUAAGGGUCAAUGUAAUUGAGGCACAGGAUAUAUUCACAAUGGAGCACCACCACAUACCUAAUGUGUUUGUAAAGGUGAGGAUUGGUCACCAAUUGCUGAAGACAAGGCAAGUUCGCUCACCAACCAAAAACUUCAUGUGGAAUGAGGAGAUGAUGUUUGUCGCAGCAGAGCCUUUUGAGGAUGACUUGAUCAUACAAAUAGAAGAUCGUGUUGCACAGGACAAAGAUGAGGUAAUUGGUGAAGCUAUCAUACCUAUCGCAAGGCUUCAAAAGAGGGCUGAUCACAAGGCGAUAGUACGCCCAGUGUGGUUUGAUCUGAGGAGACCAGGACUGAUUGACAUGAACCAGCUAAAGGAAGACAAAUUCUAUGCAAAGAUAAGCCUCCGGGUUUGCCUUGAAGGUGGUUAUCAUGUCCUUGAUGAGUCAACACAGUAUUGUAGCGAUCUCCGACCAACAAUGAAGCAGCUGUGGAAGCCACCAAUCGGGUUGCUUGAAGUUGGCAUUCUAAGUGCAAAUGGUCUUACCCCAACAAAGACCAGGCAAGAAAGAGGGUCAUGUGAUCCAUAUUGUGUUGCCAAGUAUGGUCAUAAAUGGGUGCGUACUCGCACAAUAGUUGACAACUUGAACCCUCGAUUCAAUGAGCAGUAUACAUGGGAUGUCUUUGACCAUGGAACAGUACUCACCAUUGGUCUGUUUGACAACUGCCACAUUGGAGGAGACAACCACGACCACGGCCACGGCCACAGCCACAGCCACAGCCACAGCCACAGUUCCCCCAGCAGUAUGGAUAAACCCAUUGGGAAAGUGCGAAUCAGGAUCUCAACCCUUGAGACUAGGCGGGUGUACACGCACACAUAUCCACUGCUUGUUCUCCACCCAUCAGGAGUUAAGAAGAUGGGUGAACUUCACCUUGCUAUCAGGUUCUCAGUCACAUCCCUGCUCAAUGUGUUCCUUACAUACUCACAUCCACUCUUGCCCAAAAUGCACUACUCCCAGCCAUUGUCAAUAGUCCAGCAGGAAAUGCUACGUCACCAGGCUGUCCAGGUUGUUGCACAGCGCCUGGGGCGCAUGGAGCCACCAGUUCGCAGGGAAGUUGUUGAGUACAUGUCAGACGCCCGCUCUCACCUGUGGAGUAUGCGACGAAGCAAAGCAAACUUUUUCCGUCUUAUGCAAGUAUUCUCUGGAUUCAUUGCUGCAGGGAAGUGGUUUGGUGAUGUUUGCCAGUGGAAAAAUCCAGUCACCACAGUCUUGGUUCAUGUGCUCUUCAUCAUGCUCGUCUUCUAUCCAGACCUCAUCCUUCCGACAAUCUUCCUGUACAUGUUCUUGAUUGGGUUGUGGAAUUACCGGUUCCGGCCACGUGUUCCACCACAUAUGAACACGAGGAUAUCUUAUGCUGAUGUUGCCCAUCCAGACGAGCUUGAUGAGGAAUUUGACACGUUCCCAACCUCAAAGAGCCCAGACCUGAUUAGGAUGAGGUAUGACAGGCUCCGGCAUGUUGCCGGGAGGAUACAGACAGUUGUUGGUGACAUCGCAACUCAGGGUGAGAGAAUACAGUCACUGCUGAGCUGGAGGGACCCAAGAGCAACAGCUAUGUUCCUAUUAUUUUGCCUGUUCACCGCAAUUAUUUUGUAUAUUACACCAUUCCAAGUGAUUGCACUCUGCCUUGGGUUCUUUUGGAUGAGGCACCCACGGUUUCGCCACAAGGUGCCUGCAGCGCCGGUAAACUUCUUCAGGAGGCUACCUGCAAAGACAGAUUCUUUGCUGUAAAGGACCUCAGAGAUCAGCUACUAAUGUUGUGUAAUACACUUCUUUGUAUCUAUUUUCUGUUGUCAGUAUAUUGUUGUAUUAUAGCAUCAGGUAAAUUAUCAUAAUAUGUAAUUGCUGUACCAUGUGGAACAAAAUAAGGCGAGUUCAUCAGAUAAUUUUGUGGUCAAAAGUUAAGAGAUUCAUUCUUUAAGCUGUAUAGUACAAGAUGUUCAUAAGAUGUUUGUACAAAAAAAGAGAGUUUCUAUGACCAACUAACCAAGUCAAGUUUGUCAUGCUCAAGGUAUAAGAGCAUUACAAGGUAAGCAUGAAACUGAGGUUCAUGAGAUCCUCCGCAUGUGCAUAUUUUUCUAUGUUGAACUGGAUGAAAGUUUUAUACACUUCUGCUAGCAUACAAAUUUUUAAUCUCUGAGCAUAAAAACUUUGCUGUAUUAUGAAGAUGGGCAUCAGAACCUUACUGUAUCAAGAAUCAAGAUAUGUUGUUUAUCUUGCAGGUCGCAGCAUGACUACAAACAAUUAAAUAAGAAAUCAUUCUUUGCACUUGUUUUGAAUAAGCAGCUUUACUCUCCUGGGCCUGAAGAGCAUAAUGGACAACUGACAUCAACAUCAAUAGUGAAGAGCUAAUCUAAAAAUAAUUGAUAUUAUACUGAACUCUUAUCGUUAUCAGUACAACCCCGUGACAAAUUAUCAGGCACAUGAAGUCCUCCAAAGAGUGAUAGAAUGAUUUGUUACCUUAUUUCAUAUGAUUUUCUAUUAGAAGCACUAACGGAACAUAUGAUAUUUUUGACUCAACAAAUUUACUGUACAGUCAGGGAAACUUUCGAGACAGCUGAAAACAAAUGGACAAUAUUUCUCAUUAACUUUGUUGAACACAGACAUUCAAGAUUUGUUCUAUACAAAAAGAAGAACAAAAUUUAGAUAAAACAGAUUUAUCAAUUCUUUACUAUGGUUUGGAGCAAACAACAAAUGACUCCACUUGGUACGACGGGGUCCUUAUGCCCUUAUACCACGGAGUAAAAUUGUAAGUCUUACUGGUACACUAUCAAGUUGCAAGAUUUGAACAUAGUACAAAGAUAAGCACAAAGCAACAUAGGUAAUGGAAAACAUCUGGAAGUGAUAAGAUGACUUCUUUGACACAAUUUGCACAGAUCACACUAAAUUGUGUCCAAGAAAAAAGGACUGUUUCCAACAUCACUUCAUAACACAUAUAGUCUUCGAGUACUGAUAUACAUAGACUUAACAAUAUGAGAAUGGUUCAAAUUGUUGGCAAGAAAACAGAAUUGGGUAUGAUUGAUAAGGCAGUGACAAUGAAAUAUAUCCAAGAGUGCGCACACAAAGAUAAGGUAACAUUUAUAAAAUAAAAUAUCUUUAUUGCCCCUUUUCAGUCUUACAGAGAAAAAUACCAACUUGUGUGGCCAUAGGUUGAAUGGCCCACUCUAGAAGCAUAAUUCAAGACAUAGAUCACAAGAAGGUAAAUGAUGGAAGAUAAGAAAAUUGUGAUUUCUCAACAAACGCAUACUGCCUUGUUCCCAAGUACACAUAAGGAAGAGUAAAUAAAGUCAAGAUUUAGGCGAACUUCAUCAUGCUGUGGAAGGGAAAACUUCUCUUUUGCUGAUACAAGCCACUUCAGAUUUACAGUAGUUGGUUGCCUUGGAACUCAAAAAUGUGACAGCUACUUGGUAAAUAAAUGUCGUCAAAAGUUCCUGCAGCACUGAACUAUAAGUACAUGGACACCAUACGGAAAAAAUAAAUAAUUGUAAUGAUGUCAAAGGUAUAUAUACAAGGAGCAUGCUGCCCUGAAUUAAGGCGUAUGAUAAGUCAAACUCAUGAUGUCAUAGAUAAACACCAUCAUUUAACUAUAUUAAUUUGUUAGCAAAGUACUAAAGACGUUCCAUAUUUUCCAAAUGAGUUAAUUAAUGUCAACAAGGGGCCUAUCAUUAGAACUAGUGCCUCCAUGCAUCGUGAAAAAUAAAUUGCACAAAAUCUCAUAGCAUUGGUAACAAAAUAGUCGGUAGUUGUCCCUUUUUUUUUUUGGGACAAUGUACUGAAGCACUUCCUGCACAUCCGUGCAUGUUAGAAAAAAAUGCAGUAAGUGAGGUAAAAAAAGCAUGUAAGUGGUAAUUACCUUGUAGAUGAUACUGAUAACAAACACUGACUACGGGAUGUGGAGCAGUCGAUCAACAGCCAAGUCUAGUGAAUCAACAUUCUUCCGCAUAGUCUUUCUUUUCAGGAAUUAAGACUUAACGUAAUUCCAAAAUGGGCAAUGCUAAAACGCUAUGAAACUAAAAAACACAAGCAUAUAUUCAUACUAAAAUGACCUUUCACCAAUUGAACAACACAGCUGCAGAGUUACAUGUUAUCAGCAACUAACAAAAGGAUACAGUUGCAUACUUAGGCUUUCCAAGCCUCUCAUUUCCUCAUUUAACCUGCAACAUUUCACACCGGGUCACCACAAAACACAAGACACAAAAUGAACUGACCAAUGUCAACGCAUAAAACAGUGCAUGGUUUCCAGAAAGUAAUACAUCUGUUGCCUACAAUGCCAUAUCUCCUCCAACUGCAACAAUUACAGUGCUAAAAGGAAAUCCAGAACCAAACGGGAUUUCUAGUCAAUAUUGGUAGUAUCGGGCAGUAUAUGAUUUAUCCUGAAGUUGCAAUUUAGUGAAAAAAGAAUAUCUCUGAAAUUAGUUACGGAGACCACUACAAUGCAGGGUGUGUACAUUCGCACUGCACUACCACACGUAGCACAGCCAAGUGAAAGAUGAAGACACUAGUUCAAAGUGAUCACCUGAGGCACGAAUUGAUGUACUUAUUUCCUUUCGAAGACGCUUCAAGUGCUGCAAAAAUGCAGUAGUAACAGAAAGUAAGAGUACGAUUUUUUUUUCCUCUGCAACGAUAAAAUGAACAACAGAAAGUGCAGAAAAAAAAACUAUGCAAAUUCUACAGUCCAAAUUACAGAAUUAUAAAAAAAGGGUGUGACCAUUGAACGCAAACAGUCUACAAUUUUAGACAUUCAGAUGCAGAUGAUACAUACUCCAGAGAGCUUAGUAAAAUUCUGAACAUGCUCACCUGAUUCUUGGAGGCGACCUACGACUUCGCUCAAGCAGUCCAUGUUCUCCGCCGACGUCGAUGUAACCUUCUCGUGUGUGGAAGCGGCAGAAUUAGGCGCUGGGUGAACUGUAACAAUCGGAGGAAAAAAAUCCUGGUUGUGCUUAGAGUAUGCAUACGUUAGAGAGUGCGAUGCGGAGGGAGGCGAAGAGGGAGGCGUAGCUCUCGGCGAUAGCGGCGGCGUCUCGCUCCACCGCCAACAUCGCCGCCGCCACCUCCCUCGCCCCAGGGGGAGGUGGGGCUGCCGCCGUGGGGGCAGUGGAGGGGGAGGAGGAGGAGCGGGCCGGCGAAGGAUCCUCCUGAGAGGAUUCCUCCUGCGCCGGCGGUGGGUUAGGGGAGGCGUCGGAGUCGGAUUCCAUCUAGUUCUCUUCUCCGGCUGGGUUUCUGCGCCGAGGGGAAGGAAGAGCAGGGGCCAGGGGGACACUUGGAACGUUUUUCCUUCGGCUCGGGUAUUGCUAAUCUUCAGAGUUCAGACCACUAAAGCUAGGUCGACCUUUUUUUCCCUGAAAAAAAAAGCUAGGCCGACAUUUUGCCUGUCAGAUUCAUAUCUUUUGUUUGUCACCGGUGUUUUUUUUAAUGUUUUCUAUGUUAUUAUUCGCCCCAAACAGUAAACACUAAAAAUUCCAAAUGUUUGUUCGGUGAAGAGAGGAUUAGGCCAUUCCCAAUGCAUUGUCCCUGAGGUGUUUUUUCUUAGCCCAAAAUGCCAAUAAACCACAUCCACAUAUUAAGUUGGUAUCUAAAGUAUCAGUUAUUUAAUAGUUUUGUGAGAGAGAGAGUUAAUGACUUUAUGUUGGUUUGCGUGAAGAAACUGUCGUUAGCAUAAGAGACAGUUUCAUCAUUAAAAAGGCAAUAUGUCAGCAAAAUGCUUAAGAUGACGUGCUAAGAGACUAGCAUUGGGAGUGACCUUAGAAGAGAUCAUUCCUAGUUUUCCGCACAAAACAUCACAACUUUUAAUGGUAGAAGGGUUUGUUUAGACUUGACAAUUAAAAACACCUCUCAUACUAAACACUACUCCCUCCAAUCUUAAAUUAUUGUCAUUGUUUUAUUAUUUUAGUUCAACCACAACAAGAACUCAAGAAUUUAGGAUCAGAGUAAGUAGUAUUUUAGGGAGAAGGUUUUUUUUUUUAGAAAACACCAAACCCCUUCAAAUAUCAAAUCACUAGUGAAUAAAAAAUAACCAAUGCCAAAGAAGGCCUUAGGGCGCUCAUCUUCCCUCCCAAAAAGCAACCAAACACAAGAAAAGACCAACCAUGUGCAUGCCCUCUAAAAAGAAAAGCAACCAUGGGCAUGAGUUUGUGUAGGGCAACCAAACACAACAACCCCUAAAUAGUAAUGGAGAUGAGCAAGCACUAUCAUGAAUUUCGUCCAUGUUGCCAUCCAUAAGAGCAAUAGAAUAUUUUUCUCGAACACGCCGAUCGACGUGUCAUUUUCAUUGAGAAGAAAGUGCAUGAAACACAAGUACAAACAAAGGCAAUAAAAACGAGCCCCAAAGAGGGCUCAAAGAAAAGAAGAAGGAACGAAAAAGGCCAAAGGUCACUAUAAAGGAGCAGAACUAUAGACAAUGAGAAGAUUUGUACAAAUUGGUAAUACUCAAUAAUGCUAAGUUCUGGAUGAUUACACAUAGAGUAGUUCCUAAAUGGUAAGACACUAUAUGUUUUGAAAAAAAAAAAUCUAUUGCACACGAAGGGUCGGUGACUGUGGGUAGUGUUAGUUGAGCAUGUAUAUUUGGCUUAUUAGAGAAUGCCGUGGGGCUCAACCUAGUCCUGUGCAUAGGAAUGACUAGCUAAGUGUCGGUGUGCUGUUGAUUAGUCCACCAGCUAAGUGUUUUACAAGUAAGGAAUUUGUCUUCCUUUUUUACCUCCCCCCUAUUAAGCGUUAUUUUUUAAAAAAAAACUGAUGCUAAUUGUACACAUGUAAGAAUAUGCUAAUUGUGCCUCCCUUUGGUUAGGAUUAAAUGUGAAUUUUGACUUUUGCCUAAAUAAUGUAUUCCCUCCGUCCAACAAAAGAUGUUUCAAGUUUGUCAAAAUUUGAAUGUAUUUAGGCAUGACUUAGUAUAUAGAUGCAUUCAAAUAGUUGAAAUUGUGUAACUAAUAGUAUGAAAAUGUGUUUAUGUGGUUAAAUUUUGAAAAGUUGUGAUUUUCUCACACGCAACUCCUAAUUAUAGAGGUUUAUUGAUAUUCUACUCUUAGAUUUACUUCAGAUGAUGUUGCAUGCAUGAUUUGUUUUAGUACUCAUACUUUUUUCUUUGGAAACAAUAAAGAGAGAGAAUAUAUUAAGGAAAAAUGGACUAUUUUUCCGAAAGAAAACCACGUUCCAGUCUCGCUCGCUAAAAAAAAGAACAAAUUUGAGUUGUUCAGCUGCUUACGUUUACGUCAGCCCCAGCUAAAGAAACAAGAAACAAACGGUUUAGUUGUCAUAGCGCCACCCGCGUAAACGGGACGCGCACGCCAUCUGAAUCCCGUUCGAACUCGGAGACGCGUUCCCAGCCGUCCGAUGCCCAUAAAUCUUCCAUCCUAGGGCAAGCCUACCCUCCUUCCGCCGCACAUCUCUCUCAUUUCGCCUUCUUCUCCUUCGCGGCCGAUCCUCGCCCUGCUCUCCACGCGCGCGCACGGAUCCCCGCCUCUGAAUCGCGCUCUGCUCUCCAAUCCCGAUUCGCGCUUUGCGAUCUCCGAUCAUGUCGACAUCGUCCCGCAAGCGCCCGGCGGCGGAUCAAGAACCGCGCGUCGACGGCGGCAAGAAGCGGCCUCGGUACGCUUUCGGGAGCAUCUACGACUACGAGAAGCUCGAAUCCCUCGGGGAGGGCACCUACGGCGAAGUGAUCAUGGCGCGCCACCGCCGCACCAGCAAGAAAGUCGCCGUGAAGUGGGUCCGCGGCGGCGGGGAUGGCGGCCACGGCCCGCCGGACUUCCGCGCGCUAACCCGCGAGGCCGGAUGCCAAGCCGCGUGCCGCGGCCACCCGUCGAUCGUGGAGAUCCUGGAGGUGGUUGGGGACGCCAAGACUGGAGAUAUGUUCAUCGUCAUGGAGCUCGUUGCCGGCGGCCAAAGCCUGCGCGAGCAAAUCUACAGGCCCUUGUCCGAGGAUGUGACCCGCGUGAAGAUGCGCCAGCUCAUCGAUGCCGCCAAGAAGAUGCACGGAGCCGGAAUCAUCCAUCGGGAUAUCAAGCCGGAGAACGUCCUCGUGGGGAUUUUCGGCGGGCUCAAAGUUUGCGAUUUUGGUGCGGCGACGAGGCAGAAGCCGGCCGGGGUGCCGUACGAGGAUUGCCGCGUCGGCACGAUGAUCUACACCUCGCCUGAGCAGCUCUCUGGCAACCGGAACUACGGCUCUGCCGUGGACAUGUGGGCUCUUGGGUGCAUAAUGGCGGAGCUCCUGGGUGGCGAGACCCUGUUCGAGGCGGAGACAGAGAAAGACAUGCUCGCCGAGAUGUCCAAGCUUGGAGAGCAGAUCAGAACCACGGGGAAGCUGGAUUUGGAGUGGUUUGCGGAGCUUUCGGAGGCUGGGCGUGAGAUCCUGAUGGGCCUGCUUGCCUUCUGUCCGGAGGAGAGGCUCACCGCGGCAGAAGCGCUGGAGCACCGGUGGUUCAGCAAGUCCUCUGCUUUCGCCUGAGCAGAGUGCCCUGGCGCUGUCAAUUUGUUCAGUUAGAUCAUCACUCCAGCUUGGUUUAGAUGAUACUCUACUUGAUAGGUGUAGUCCUCGAUGGCUCUGAUUACUGCAUUGCAUUGCAGUGCCCUCAUCGAGUUUAAUCUUAUUCUUUGAUGUAGAUUUAUGUAAGCUUAGUUCUACUUGAUACUUGAUACGAUAGGAACCAACAUUCCUCGUCAUGUAAUUCUUUGAACAAUCAGUGUAGCCUGGAAAUUAAUUGGAAAGAUGAUUUUGUUGAAUGCAGUUCAAUGUCUACUUGUUUUUUAUGAACAAUGUCCAUUUAUUUGCUUUAUCAAUUUGAGCAGGGACCGAUUUUGUUUGUUGGAGCUUAGUUAACUCUUUGAUUUUGGAGAAACGGCACCAUGGAAGCCACAUCAAGCAGGAAUUCCAAGGGAACAUCAUAAUAAAUAGUAUUAAGUGGAGAGUAAAAAAUAGAGAUAAUUGUGCUACUUCAAUCUUGUCCUUCUCUGAAUUCUGCCAUCCUGAGGCGCAUAUCCUGCUUUCUUGAUGCAUUGAUUAAACAGGGAUUAGCCUACUAUGUAAAACGGACAAGAAAGGGUUGCUGUAAGUUGCAGUUGGAAAACAAUGUUGUUUCAGUACUUGCCUUUCUGUCUGCGAAGAAUGUUGUUUGUUUGGAGAACAGUAAACAGUUUACAGACUUAAUGACCACUUUUGUUGUUCACACCGUUUUUUUCAAUAUUCGAUCAGGUCUUGAGAUCAGACUCCAGUAUUUUUACUGCAGGUUUCUUCUGGUCUUUAGUUAACUUUCAGCCUGAGCAUUUCCAAUCUUGAAACGCCUCUGUUCGUAGUGUUGCUCACUCGAGUUCUCAUCCGAGAGCUUCAGUUUGAAUCCUUGCCAAAAAAAAAACGCUAUACUGUUAUGCUGUAAUGAUGUAAGAUGUGAAUUGUUGAAGGAACAUUCUGGACAAAAUAAAGGCUGUUUUUUUAGGUAAAGAAUAAAGGGGGUUGACUGUCAGCCAGACAGCUCUUCUCCUUCUUCUGAAUCUGGGAGUCUGACAGCAAAGCUCUCGCCGGCCAACGAACCCAGGGGGAAGACUUGACUUGAGCAUUAAAAACAAGGAGAUGCGGCAUCGCGACCACAUGGAAAUUGCAGGGAACUAGCCAACAACACCACCUCUCCCCGCUUGUGGCAUUGGGCAAGAGAGUCGCCUCGAGAUUUCCUGCGAUUCUAGGGUAUUUGUUCCUCUGGUCUUGCCGCAGCCGUCGUCUUUGUUCUCCUGUUGCGUUCGAUCAUAUCUGUUAUUUUCCGCAGCUUCGCACGAGAUCAGUAGCGCGUCGCUGCGGUUUGCAGGCGUCGCAGCACUGGAUUCAAGUUCAAGAUCCCAAAAGGUUUCCCCCAAAUGCACUCUCUGUCGGUGGUUUUUAUCAUUGGUCAAAUCUGCUUCGGAAAAGGUUAUGAGUGAAUCUGGAUGCAUUCUUAUUGUUGGGUGAUUGGGGAAUUCGGCCAUGUGUUAAUUGGAGUCUACGAGUGCUACUUGGAUCACUGAUUGGGAAAGGAGAGGAUAGAACGUACAUACAAGUAGUGGUAUGAACAUGCAUAUACAUUCAGAAAAUUUUGUUUAGUGAGCCCGAAGCAGAUGAAUUCAAAGUUUCUUUAGAGGAAAAUGAGUUCCGAGUUGUAUUUACAACCACUGGCGUUAGCUUAGCAAACAGGAUCAACCACAUUGGUAAGACUUAGAUAUUCUCCUGACUGAUCCAAUAUCUGAUCAUUUGAAAAAGAAACUAUGUUGGCACAUAUAUAGUUCUAACUGAUUUUUUCUGAGUAGACAUCAUCUCAGAAUGCCAUAAUUUAUUUAUUGAAUUAUCGGACCGGUACUUCUGGACCAGGAUACUAAAAAGGUAUUUGUAUUUGGACUAUGUAUGUAUAACUGUAUACUGUUGCGGUGUUAAUGAGUGUUUAUUUUUCAACCAAACGAUUUCCUACAAAUAAUAUCUGAUCUUUAAGCUCUUCAACAAGGUACAUUGCUACAAAAGAAAUUACGGAACACCUAAUUUAUAAUGUAAACCCAGAGCAUAAUAUUUUCACAAAUUUUGGUUUAAAGCUCCCGCUUGUAGUGUUAAGCCAGUUCAAGUAAGAAAACAAAUGGUGCUUUUGGCCCCUUGAGUUCCUCCUUGAUCUGUUGUAGGUGUUCCAACUUCCAAGAUUUCUCCUAGUGGUUUCUGCUGCCUAGAUCUGUUGUAGGUGUUCCAACUUCCACGAUUUAUUCCAUUAGAGGAGCUUGUUCACAGGCCUCGUGUCAUGCUGGAGUUUAUAGUCCACCCAUUCAGAACGGAGGAAGACUACCCUAGUGGACUCGAUGUGUACCUUGUGAUUACUUGCUAGAAACGAGAUUCGUUUUUUUUGUGGGUAGCUAGAAACGAGAUUCGUUUUUUUUGUUGUUAUCUACCUGUUAUCUCCUUUCCUCACUUACAUUGUCCUUUUCUCGAACUGCUCCUACAAAUUGUUGUGUUCUUUUUUUAAUUUUGUUCACUUUUUUGUCUCCAUAUUGAUGAAGAUAUAUACAGCUUCCAUGCGUAUAUAUUCAUACAGUAGGUUAAUCAUGACAAUUGAUAGAUGCAGAGCGGACAGUUUUAUAACAUGCAUCUUUUUCGUCUUCUUAUUGGUUAACAUAUACUGUAUACAGCUUUCAUGUAUUUUUGUCUCAUAUGUACGUUUUUUCUCAGAAGGUGAUAAUUGGCAGUUAAAUAGUCCUUUGUCCAUUUUCUAACAUAAUAACGAUUUUCUCUUCGCAGAGAAGGUAAUACUUGAAUAAUUAUCAAGUGAGUUAUGAUCGAGACAAUUCUAGCAGGCUUCACCAAAGAUGUUGUCAAGUCACUUGGCAAAUUAGCCACUGACGAACUGUCCAAAGUACUGUAUGUAAAAAAUGAGAUCGAAAAACUUAAGAGUAAACUUGAGCAUAUCACGACUAUCAUCAUGGAUGCAGAGCAGACAAUUGUACAACAUGCAGCCACCAGGGAUUGGCUGAAGAAACUGAGAGAAAUUACUUAUGAGGCAGAAAACAUAAUUGACCGCUGUAGGAUUGAAGCCGAUAGACCCCAAUCACAACCACAGGUCAGGGGAAAAUGAAUCCUUAACUUGUUUCCUUUUUGUACUUCCAGGGAUAAAUUACGAUUUCUACUAUCUCCGAUCCAAAAUAAGUGGCGCAGUUUUGAACUAGGGUUGAACUAGACUUAGUUCAAACCUGAGACACUUGUUUUGGAUCGGAGGGAGUAUUAUUUUGCCUUUUUUAUUUGAGGAUUUGAUUUGUAUUCAGUGUCCAUAGAGAUUUAUUUACACCUACUCUCAUCGAAGGUCAAUGAUUGUCCAAAAUAUUUGACCUGAAUAUCCUUAGAUUUGAGGCUUCAUCCUAGAAUUCAUCGCUAUCAGCUGAACCUCUAACAUGUUAUAUAUGUUCAGACCAGUAACCACAGCUUAAAGAUGUGAUUAGAGGUAUUGAACAUUCUUCGGAGCAUCUCAGUCCUUUUAGUAGUACCUUACCUGUCACCACAAUAAGUGGAGAACAGAAACUGCAUGGCCCUGUUCAGUACAGACUCCUUUUGCCAGGUGGAAGCAACCUACUGUAGCAUUUCUCCUGAAACUUACACAUGCAGUACUUCCAGUAGUUCAACUUCUAUAACUUUUAUCAAGUCUAUGAAUGAUCACAUCAAGUGAAGUAGGAGACCACUUCAUUGGUUUGUCACAUGCUUGUCAAGUUGUAGUAUGCGUUGAGCCAUGAAAUGCCUAUUAGGUUGCUGGCAAGCCCCUGUAUUUUUGCCGAAAGAGCAUUCAUUUGAGCUGUUCCAACAAAAAUAUGUAUAAAAUGCAUCAACUGCUGAAGAAUAGAGGGAACAACUGUUGCUUGACUUCAGUGUAGGUAGUUCAACAAUAUGAAACUAGUGCUAGACUGAUAUAAUUUCAUAUCCUAAAUAUACCUUAGCAUAUCUAUAUGCUAGAGCAUCUGUAUGUGUGGCCACCUACUGUCAAGACUCAAGAGGCCAAUAAGUCCAAACAAGGUUAUCCUAGGAUUCUUUUUAUGUUUGUAGGAUAAGGAUCUUAGGAUCAUGGGACUAUUCUACCUCUAAUGUCAUGAUUAAUGAUGAAAAAGUCUGGACCACUAUAUUAGAUGUAACUAUGUUACUCUUACCUUUUAGUUAUUACAGUCUGCCAUAGGAUCAGGAUCAGAAUGAUAAGGUCCCGCAGUAUGGAUCAUCAUCGUGAAAAUCUUGGGCACAAGUAAAUAUGACCAAGAUGCCAUAUGAACUGUGAGAAUCAAUAUUAUCUGCUUAAUUUGUUUUACACAAAUAUUAUCCACCAUGAAGUAACUUAAUGUGCUUACUUUGCAAAUCCAGGUCUAAAUGAGUAAACUACACCACAUCGUUCAAAUGUGCAUUUUCUUGUUCUAUAUAUAUCUAGUAGUUGUGGAAAGGGAUUAAACCUUAUCUUUUGUGUACAGGAGUGCAAUCCUUCGUCAGCCUUCAAGUGUUGCAGAGAUGUUGCUAUUAACUACAAGAUUGCAAGCGAUAUACAUGAACUAAAUCAGAAACUGGAUAGCAUUAAAUCAGAAAGCAUGAUGCUCCAUCUAAAUCCAAGACUAGAAGAUAUCAGAUCAGAUGAUGUUGCUCCAGAUCUUGAUUCUGAUAUUGUAGGUCGAGAGGUAGAGAAUGACUGCAACAGUCUAAUCCAGCUGCUACAAAGAGAAAAUACUAUUAGCUGUCGUUUAUUUGCUAUAGUAGGAACUAUUGGAGUUGGCAAGACUACUCUUGCUCGAAAGGUAUACCAUAGGGCAGCAGCCAUGUUUGAGACCAGGUUAUGGGUUCAUGUCUCAAAAGACUUGAAGCAAAUGACAAUGUGGUCAGGUGGGAAGUAUACAAAAGCAGAGACUCCAGAGCAACAGGCAUUAUUGCGCACAUGUUUAGAAGGUAAGAAAUUUGUGCUGGUCAUUGAUGAUGUGUGGGGAGAGGAUGUUUGGGAUGGGCUGUUAGAGGUACAAGCACAACAUGGCACCACUGGCAGCAGAGUCCUUAUAACAACCCGAGAUGAGCGUGUUGCUAGGAGGAUGGGGGCUAUUCAUCUUUACCGUGUGAAGUGCCUGAAUGAGGAUGAUGGUUGGUGGUUGCUUCGUACAAAGUCUUUGCUUAACGAGAACACUGGCAACAUGCAAGAUGUUGGAAGACGGAUCGUCCAGAAGUGUAAUGGACUUCCAAUGGCAAUAAGGAGAAUUGGAUGCUAUCUAAGGGAUGUGGAGCCUCAAGAGAAUGACUGGGAGAGAGUCUACUCGAGCAAUUUCUGUGGGAUUUCUAGGAGGAUUCGAAGUACUAUUAAUAUGAGCUAUCUGGAGUUGCCAUAUUACCUGAAGAGGUGUUUUAUAUAUUGUGCUCUGUAUCGAGAGGGAUUUGUGAUCAACCGGCAGUGUAUCACCCGCCAGUGGAUUGCUGAGGGGUUCAUUGUGACCACACAGAACUCAACGCAGCCGCAAUCUACAACACUUGAAGAGGAAGCUGAGAAAUGUUAUGAGGAAUUGCUGGGAAGGGGCCUUCUUCUGCCUGAAAAUGAAGCUUGUGGUGCGGUGGGAGCAAAGAUGCCUCAUCUUUUCAGGUCGUUUGCACUUCUUCAGUCACAAAAUGAGAACUUCACUGGCAAUCCUGAAGAUAUAGGUGAUGUUUUUAAACCAUGUCGCUUAUCCAUCACAAAUGCAAGUGCAGAAGCCAUCCGGAACGGAAUUAAAAAGCUUAAGAGCUUGAGGACAAUUCUCCUGUUUGGGAGUUCACUAAAUGAAAAGUCCAUGAAUGAUAUUUUCCAGAAGUUCACACACAUAAGAGUUCUGGACCUUGGAAAUACACAUAUUGAGUGUGUUACUGUAAGUUUAGGACGGAUGGCACACCUUAGAUAUCUUAGCUUUGCUAAUACUCAAGUUAGAGAAAUUCCUGGUACUAUUGAGAAUCUGAGGAUGCUGCAGUUCUUAAUUCUGAAGAAUUGUGUUCAUCUCAAUGCCCUCCCUGAAUCUGUUGGCCGCCUAAUAAAUUUGAGAAGCCUUGACAUCUCAGGAGCUGGACUAAAUUGUGUGCCAUUCCGAUUCUCCAAGAUGAAAGAACUCAACUGCUUACAGGGUUUUCUUGUAAGGUCAGCUGGUGCACAAAAUAAAAGUGGCUGGAAGUUUCAAGAACUGAGCUCCUUAACUAAGCUGACAAGCCUCCAGAUACUGAGGCUAGAGAGAACACCCAAUGGGGAACAUGCAAGACAAUCAGCACUGGAGGGGAAGUGUCAUCUCAAAGUGCUUGAGUUAAGCUGCAGCACUGAUGACCAACCAGUGGAGAUUAGUAGAGCUGAGAAUAUUAAAGAUGUUUUUGAUGCACUGAAGCCAGGACCUUCUGUUGUCUCUGUCAAGCUGGUAAAUUAUUAUGGACAUGGAUUUCCAUCUUGGUUAUCUCCGUCUGAUCUACCACUGCUGCAGCGGCUGACCCUUGAUGGCUGCCUGUAUUGCCAAUGUUUACCAUCUCUGGGACAGAUGAAGAAUUUGAAGUUCCUUGCGAUAGUUGGUUCCAAUUUGUCAUCUACCAUUGGCCCUGAGUUCCGUGGGACACCAGAAAACGGGGUGGCUUUUCCGAAGCUAGAGCAGUUGAUCAUCAGUAAGAUGAGCAACUUGAAGUCAUGGUGGGGCCUUGAAGGAGGAGAUAUGCCUUCACUCAUAAAUCUCAGGCUUGAUGGAUGCUCCAAGCUGGAUUCACUUCCCCACUGGCUCGAGCAUUGCAUGGCAUUGACAAGCUUACAGAUAGAUCAUGCCGAUAGCCUGGAAGUUAUUGAGAGCUUACCUGCACUUAAACAACUUAGAGUUCAGAGGAACAAAAAGCUGACAAGGAUCUCAAACCUCAAAAGGCUUGAAGAUUUGCAAGUUUUGCAUUGCUUGCUUCUGAAACAUGUACAAGGUGUCCCGUCGUUACACAAGGUUCAUUUAGAUGAAAGAAAUUCAACUGAACUUCCACAUUGGCUCCAUCCACAACCACAAGAACCAUUCAUCCUCAGGAGAUUGGAGAUUGUUGGCGCUGAAGAGCUACUUGACAGAUGCUCAUCUGCUAGUAGCCAAUACUGGUCUGUCAUCCAAAAUGCUGAUCAUGUAUAUGCAAACCUGCCGGAUGGUGCCUUCUACUUCUCCUUCACCAAAAGUACCAGCUACUUCCAUAGGAGUGCGAGGUCCCUUGCACAAUCUUCUUUAUACAUAUCACCUAGCUUCACUAUGCCUGCUGUUCCCAAAGAAGCCGGUGAUGUUAUCUUGUUGGAUGGAACUAAAAACAGCAUCAUGCAGGGCAGCCAAUCUACAAGUCAGUCAUGGGUGCGGACUCAACUUUUCACAUUUCUACUAUUUAUUGCCACCAUUUUGAUGUACCUCAUUUUGUUGGGGAAAUACAUCUAAUACACACAUAAAUUUCUGUUGGGACCUUUUGAUAUAUUUUUAUUUUUUAACCAGUCAUAUACUCGCAUUGUUUUGUAUACUUGUGAAUACUCGUAUUGUCUUGUAAUCUUGUCAAUGGCCAGUUACUUGAGAAAUGUAGUUGUAGUUGUACCUAUUUCUUGAGAAAUGUAGUUGGUUAAAGGAAUAUAUAUAGUUAAAAAAUACUACCUCCGUUCCAUAAUUUUUGUCUCAAAUUUGCCUAAAAAUGGAUGUAUCUAUUCUUAAAAGGUGUCUAGAUACACGUAAGAUUUCGACAAGAAUUAUGGAACGGAGGGAGUAUUAAACAACUAUUGAGUUUACUUACCAAGAAAUGAAAUGUAAACAUAAUUGUAACACUAUAGUUGAACUUAAACAUACCGCACAGGUUAACAAAUCUAUAUUUUUAAUACGUUAACAUUUCUUGCACAAAGUAAAAUUUACUUGUUGAAAUCACCUACGGUUUUACAGAUGAAGACACAAAUAUUUGGAAGAGAGAAGUCAUACCAGUUUUGCACAGAUAUGACGGCCCCCAAUGGGUUUUUUUAGAGACUGCGUGAGGUUUCUUUACGAGCAUUACAACAUCUCUAGUAGAUCCCUUGUAUAGUCCUGGCCCGUAAACUUUAAAGGUUUUGGUGAAAAAGGUGAUCGAACAAAUCCCUUUAAACAGCUCGGCCUGUAUAAAUUUUUAUGGACCACCAGAAAUCGGUCCUCCCACACGAUAUAUCUAGGGCUCUGUGGGCGAUUUAUGGUGCUUCAUUUGCGCCGCCUCCUCCACGCAUCCGCCACCCCCUAUUGCCUCCAGCCACCGCUCCCACCUAAUCCGACAACCCCGCGAAUCAAGGCGGGGCAAGGCCUGGGAGCUCGCUUCGCGUUGCAACGCUUCCGGGGAGUGGGAGUCGAGCAAUCAUUCGUAGCCGAUAGGUCCGCUCGGAGGGCGCGCGGAAACAAAGAUUUGCUUAUUUAGGUCAUUUGUUUCCUUUAAAAAAUAAGUCCCAUGUACAUAUAUUUAGGUGAUAUCUAUACGAAUUUUUUCAUUCCUCUAGCAGUAAAUAAAUUAGUUACAGAUUAGUUGAUUUGAAAUCGCACAAAAUAAUUUUCUAAACUAGGGUAUAAUGACCUGGAGCUAAUAUCUUUAGAUAUUUAUACGGUUUUCCAUCUCAUAAAUUUAUGACUAGACGAAUAAUAAAACGUGGAUGUUUUCAAGAUAAAAAAAAAUGAUUGCAUGCAUAUAUGAAGCAUUAGAGAAGCUUUUUCUAAUAUAGAUAAAAUGGACGCAACUCCACCAACCAAGGUUUUUUCAAAUCCCGGUGCUCACAUUUACAGUGCAAGGGUCUGCCUUAUAGUAAUGAUAUUUCUUAUAUAUAUGUUAGUAGUAAAACUUAGACUACUCGCAAAAAAAUAAUAAUAAAACGUAGACAAAUUCUGACUAUAGUUGUAUUAACAUCAUGUAUUUCUGAGGGGAGGUAGAGUAGAGAAAAUCAACAAAAGCCACAGAUCUUAAUUAGAAUAUAUGCAAUUCGAUAACAUCACGUUAGGUGACCUACUUUUGUUAUUUGAAAUUAGUAUGCAGCUUUGUGUAAUUUACAUCUGAACAACUUUAACGUUGUAGAUGUGACUUGUUUGAUAUAAUAUGAAUAAAGUCCUGAGUUUAAAAAAAAAAACGGUAUGCAGCUGCAAAGUGAGGUAAACACACCCGCGGUACUACUAUUAUUGAGUUGGUGUCAUUUUAGUCCUAAUUAUGAAAUUGCACACUUAGGUUCUAAUUUUAUUUGAAGUGGCUCACGCGAGGUCUUAAACUGGUUCUGGCACGUUCGAUCCGCUUACGUGGCUUGCUGAACCUGUACACAUCGGCAAGCAGGCCCACAGACGAUAACCAAUGGCAAUGUAAUUUAACAAAAAAACCUCGCGGAAGGGCCAUCUCUCUUAUUUCUCCCCUCGUUUUCCUUCUGUGAGGUUUUUUUUGGCUAAAUUACAUUGUCAUUGGUUAUAGUAUGUGGGCCCCAUUGCUGACGUGUACCGAGUCAACAAGCCACGUAGGUGGGUCAAACGUGCCUGAACUCCUGUGAGCCGCUUAAAAUAAAAUUUGGACCAAAAUGUGCAAUUUUAUAAUUUUAGGAGUAAAGUGACACCAACUCGAUUACAGUAGGACUGCGGGUGCAUUUAUCUUCUCAGUAUCUGCCGGAAGCUGAGCCCACCUAUCUUCAAAUGGAACAUGGCCGUUGGCGGCACCGACGUUCAGGAGGCUGCCUCUACACGUUACUCCCUCCAUUCCACAAUACAACGUGUAUAGAUUUUUCUUAUUUGUUUCACAAUACACUUCAUUUUUCUCUUGGUACUCGCACGUGGCCAAUAACUACUUACAUCUAUUUAUUAUUAACCCAAUAUGAGUGGUCAGGCACGAAAAACAAGAACUGCCUUGGUUCAAGUGCACAAAUCUAUACACGAUGUAUCGUGGAACGGAGGGAGUACUACAUUAGGCCUCCAGAUCCUAGCCUACAGAUUUUAUCAGACCUGCUCUUCUUUCUUUUUGCAUCCUUUGUAAUUUUGUGUAGCUCAGGUUGGAUUUGUCUUCUUAGGUUUCUCUUUGAUUUUGGUUUUCGCUCAGCUCUGUAAUUUUUUGUGCAUUUUUAGUGAUUUUUCGACACGUGUUUUUAUAUGCGUUUUUGAGAAAAAAAUAUUGCAAUCAAUGGUAAUAAGCAUCAGAACACCUAUUACGACUUUGUAGAAGUUCGUAACCAACUCGAAGAUGAAUACUUGCUAAAAAAAACCAAUUUCGAAGAUGAAUGCACAGAUUGUUUCAUGGUCCAGUAAAGAAGGCACAAAGAAAAUUGAUGCCCUUUAAUUAAAAUUGCACAAGUUCAGAUACAUUUCAUGACCAGCUAAUCUGCAUCACUCAAGUGAAUAUACAUUACACAUAUUUACAGGAAGUAGGACGGAUCUAAGUCCAAUCUAACUGAAUAGCUGCUUGUCCAGAAAAUGUAUUUCCCAGAUAAGAUAUUUCAACGGUUCCUUUCCCUACGCACACAUAAUGUAGCACACCAAAUUACAGAAGAAUGCCUCCAGUUGUACCCUAUGCAGCAUUAUGUAGCAACAGCAGAGCAUCGUUCACCAGUUUCUGUCUUAAAUAUUUUCAAGAUAUUCAUGACUUCAUUUCCCCUGUUCUCUUUCACUUUGUCCUAAUUUUGACAAGACAACCAUCAGUCGAGAAAUACAAGAAACAGCAAGAGGACUGUUGCAAAGAAGGUGAUUAGGGUCUGGAUAAGCCAAAUCUCUCUAGUCGUCUUAUUCUGGAGCGAAUAGGAAACCACCUGCAUAACAAACAUAACCACCACAAGGUAGGGAACAAGGUACCGUCGAAUAAUCCUCUUGAACGUGGAUGUUUGGUUGACAGGUACUACAGGCACACCAAUUCGACCCACCAUGUCAGCAGAAUUACCAAGUGAAAUGGUCAGGGCUUCAUGCACAUUUCCAACUGCUAUUGAAACAGGUGGCUUGCUAUGUUCUAUGAUUCUUUGAUCAACAUGGAAAUCCGCAGUGUCCUUUGUGUAAGUGAAGAAUGGAGAUUCAUCAGGUAAGUUUGCGUAAACUUUAUUGAUGUCACGGAUGAUUCCCCAGUCUUGACCAUUGGGAAGUAGUCUUUCAAGUAGCUCUGCUGAACCAACUACAGUGAAAGUUUGCAACACCGAGGCACAACUUCUCAACCAUUCUGGUAAUCUUCUUAGUUCUCUAUCUUCGAUGCGGGCAUGCCUCAGAUAGUGGACUUCAUUGACAUCCUUUAAUCUAGAGCAACUGAUGACUAUUAGGGCUUCAAGUAAUACAAGAUUUGAGAUUUCCGUAAGUUCGUUGCAGGCUUGGAGAACCAAUUCUUUGAGCACAGGCAAGUCCUCAACGACUUCCAGACUGUCAGCAUAGUGUAUAUGCAUGCUUGACAGGACUUUGGAGUACUUGAUGCCAGAUGGGAGGUACCUCAACUUGGGACACCUGUCCAGACGAACUUUCACAAGGGAUGGCAUAUCACUAGAUAAAAAUCCUACCCAUGAUUCAAGAUUCUGCAUGUCUUUAAGGUGCAACUGCUCUAGCUUAGGAAAUGCCUGAUUGCCAGUUGUUCGAUCUUGCUCAAUUGUAAGUAACUUGGAAAAACCAGUUAUAGUGAGGAACUUUAGUUCAGUUAGCUGGCCCAGGUCUGGCAGACGCUCACAGAAUUUACAAUCAGAAAUAACAAGCCGCUGGAGGUUUGAGAGAUUAGGCAACCAAUCAGGGCAAAGUUUUGCGUAGUAGCUCACCAUUUUGAGAGAUUUUAAACAUUGCGGAGGACAAAAGCAAUCAAAUGUGUCUUUUAUUGUUCUAGCAUCAUCCUCUCGUACUUCGGCCUGUCUAUCAUCAGUGCUACAACGUAGUUCAAGCUCCUUAAGGUGCGACUUCUUAUCCAGCAUGGCUUUUUGCAUCCUCAAACAAUCUGUUACUCUUUCCAUCCUCAGUAUCUGCAGACUCCUCAAUGCAUUUAGAGAACCCAGGUCUUCCAAAGGCCACCCACUAGGAUCAUCAUCACGGUUGGGUGUACAGUUUACUAUAAAACCAUGUAGUGUGGAGAGCAGCUUAAGAUUUUCCAAACAUGGUAGAACUUGAUGUAAGUUAGUUCCUCGAAGGUCGAGACUUCGCAAACUCUGCAGCUUGCCAAUCCCUUUUGGAAGAGUGUGCAGACAAUUGCAGUACCGGAGACCCAAGAACUGUAAAUUUCUGAGACACUCAAUGGACUCUGGAAGCUCAGUAAUCCGGGUUAGGGAAAGAUUAAGGAGCCUGAGGUGAAGUAGAAAUUUUAGUGACGUUGGAAUGUACUUAAUUUCAGUACCACCAAGGUCCAACACUUGCAAAUAUUUGAGCCCCUUAAAGAGCUUGUCUAAGCCAUGAUUGCCCACUGGGUUCUUGUAGAGAAUAACUGUCUUCAAGCUGGCCACAGCUACUAUUUCAUCCAAGGUUGUAGUUGGUUUGUUGCUUCUAAUCCACACUUGUCGCAGCCCUUCACUGGAAGUUCCAUUGACACUAGGCUUCAGGUCCCCAGAGAAAACUUUAUCUUCUGCAAAGAACUGCAAAAAUGAUCUGAUUUUUUCAUGCAUUGUGCAUCUUGUCAUGUCAUGGUUCCCAAUUUCAGGCUUCAGAAGAUUUCUUGAUACCAACUCCAUGUAAUACUCCUCUGCAAUCCUUUCGGGGUUGCAGUUAUCUUGUUCCUCAAUGAAACCCUCUGAAACCCACAGUUGACAAACAAACUGCUGCCUCAUAACAGAUCCUUCAGGGAACAGUGAUAAAUAAAUUAGACAUUGCUUCAGAUGUGAUGGUAAAUCAUGGUAGCCCACAUAGAUGGCCCCAGUUAAGCCAUCAACAGAAUCAUGAAGGUCCCUGAAAGACCACCCUUUGCUUUCAUACACUUGCUGCCAGGCCUCUUUGUUCUGCUCCUUUGUUCUUAGGACAGCGGCUAUAAUCUUAAUAGCCAUUGGAAUCCUGUUACACUUUUGGAUAAUCAUUAUUCCAGUAUUCCUUAAAGUGUUGCCAUGAAGGCUCUGAUCAUGACACGCAUUACGGCAAAGUAAGGACCAACAAUCCUGAAAUGCUAAUUCUUUCAUUUGGUAGAUGUAAGCAUAAGCAGACUUCAUUUUUGUUGCGACACUCCCAUCCUGAGUGGUGAUCAAAAUUCGGCUUCCGUGACCGAAAACAUGCCAAUGAGCAUCAAGGGAGUUCUCAAAAACAUGAUGACCGUAUAAGCCGUCAAGCACCAGUAAGAAUCUCUUUCCCUUUAGCAUAGCAGCCAAGAUUGCCUCAAGUUGCAUUCUGUCUGUUGCUCCUCUGGGAUUUCCACCGGCGGCACUAACAAUUGCAGACAGUAGGCCAAUACCAUCAAAAUCAUUGAAAACACUAACCCAUGCGAUCAUGCUAAAAGCAUUUCUUGUGCGGUGAUCAUUAUGCAUUUCCCAUGCCAAUUUAGUUUUGCCCAUUCCACUGUCCCCAAGGAUGCUGACAACAAUAUUAGCACUUUGCCUGUCUGUCAGUAUGUCAAUCAAUCUAUUCUUUUUGUUUUCAAUGUCACCAACUGUAUCAUCAUUCAAUACCACUUCUGCAGUGAAUUCAGAUCUUCCAUUCAGGAUUUCCUGGUUGCCUGAUAGAAGCCCAAGCUCUGAGCCCUUGUUCAAAAUUGCAUCAAAUAUCUUAUUCAGGCUGGUGAUACUGGUCCUCAAAGUUUUGUCCCGGAUCCCGUUGACAGUUGGUGGCAACAUAAACCAGUGGCGAAACUGCACACAUGAAGAUUUUAUUUCUAGUUAUUGACUCACAGAAAACUCGUAGAAAAUGCUAAUAUUUCAUAUCUGUGUAUACAUGUAAAUGUUGCAAUAAAAAAAGGCCAUCAUGAGAUAUUGGUUUCAGAAUGAGCAGCAAUGCCAUUGACAUGAACUGCUUAAGAAGUCCAUAUGCACCUAAAAGAUCGCUAUAGAAACAGUGCCCGCAGUUUCUGUUCGCACUCAUGCCCUAUCAGCAUUGAAGAAAUUUUUUUGGAAAUGAAUCAGCAUGAAUGAAUAGUGAAAAUUGAUGAGCAAGAGUAGCUAAUGAAGUAUGAAUCUAGUGCACAUUGUGUAUGCGCUCAUAUUUGUGUUGGACAGUCCGCAAAAUCUGCAUGUUCUGUAAAGCAAACCAUGUCUAUGUGCGCAAGUCAACCAUGACGGGGAUCCAAGAGCGGGCAGAACGCAUACCGAUCUCCGGGACUCCAGCCGCCGCCCUGAGGGGGCCGCGCGGCGAAAGUCUGCGUCGGCGUCGCCAAGCUCGUACAGGGCAUCCCGGAGCUCCCGCAGCCAAGCCCUGGAGCUGGCGUCGCGUCCCUCCCUCGCCUCGGCGUCGGGCGCGAGGCCCGCCGCGUCGUCGAGCUUCCGCCGGAGCCGCCGCAGCUCCUCUGCGGCUCCGGGCGCGCCGUCCGCGAGGAGGCCGUCGACCGAGCGAACGGCGGCCGGCAGCAUCGCGGUCGCGAGCAUGGUCGCUUCCUUCUCCUGCUCAACGCGUCGGAGGAGGAAACGAAGACGAUUUGGCGUAACAACUAACAGUCUAACACCACGAGGCCAGGUCGUGGCCUUCGUCAGCUAUUGAUCAAUUUCGAUUAGAAAAUAGCCUGUGGAUUCAGUUAGAAGUCAAUCGAUCCCGGGCAAUUAAUUACUACUCUGUACUCGUAAAAAUGAAGAAAUUUCCUGAGUAGAACAACCACGGAAUUUACCCAAAUAAUCCAUUAAUAAUUCAUAUAAUAACUACAUCAAGAACAGCACUAAGACUAAUCAAAACAGCUACGAAUCCAGUGGCCAAUCCACGCUAAGAAUCGGCCACGUUACAUCAAGAACAGCACUAACACUACGGUAAAAUCAGCUACGAAUUCAGUAACCAAUUCACGCUAAGAAUCGGCCACUUUACAAUCGACAUUGAUGCCUACUACAUCUGACACUAACCCAGUGACCAAUUCACACUAAAGAAUCGGCCACGCUACAACUGAUCUUGAAUCUGACCAAUUCACUAACGCUAUCCUUCAAAUUUCAAUCCUUCGUUCUUCAGUAGCCACACCAGACGAAGUAGGGGCACAGGGCUCCCAUGGCGGGCGUCCAGUUGCCGCACCCCAUGAAGCACUUCCCCUGCAUCGGCCCUGGCACCGCCACCAUGCCUUCUCUGCUGGCCACUCCACAGUAGCACAAGCACGCAUCAGCGGCGCCAUUGCACGGACUCACCUUAGGCUUCUUUUGCUGCUGCGGGGGCGGCGGCGCCAGCGAGCCGGUUAUGCAGAGCUUGACGCCACGAUGCAUAACCGCGACAAGAAGCCGCGCCGUGUUGCGCGCAUCAUCGAGCCCGCAGUGGAGGCGGCCCUCCCACUCCAGCCCCGCCUUCUUGACCGCAUCUUGGAGAUUGAUCCGGCCUCCGCCGCCGAAAGCGGCCUCGAAGGGCACCCUGAGGUUGAUCCAGCGGUCAAAGUAGGGAGGUUUGGCGAUCCCCUUGAACCGGCAUUCCGAUUCCAGCAUGGUGCGGCAAUCCCAGUCUCCCCAAGUCAACACGGCAAAGCUGCCGCAUUUCUUGGCCCAUGGCCUCCCCGCCAUCGCCGCCUCCAGCCAAGCGUCGUGCAGACGCAGCGCCUCGGCAAGAUCCACACCGCCGUCGACGUCCGCCUGCUGGAUUCCGGUGAGGUCCCUGCAAAACUGGGUUAGCACAGGGUGGUGUCGCGGACGGACGUACCUGCGGAACGCGGAUUCGAGGCGGCCGGUGGCGCCGUCGACGAGCACGGACGGGAAUUCGAUGAUCUCCUGCGGAUAGAUCCGCGCGUCUUUCUUGCAGGUCGCCUCGAAAUCGAUCACCACGAGGUAGUCGAACUCUAGCAGAUUCUGCGCCUGCUCUCUGCCCCCGCCGCCGCCCGACGCCGUGAACGGCGCCCUAGAGGCCGACAUUGGUUCAAGAGGAGGGGAUUCGAUUGGCACGAGGAUAUGAUCAGAUAUCGAAUCGGGAUUGGCACGAGGAGACGACGGGAUUGAGAAGUAGGCUUUAUCAGUUUGGGCCGGACGCGUUUUGCAGCUGUUAUCCUAAGUGGGCUCUAUCUUUAAUCGGUUUCAUCCGUCAUAUCCAAAUUUAAAUUCCCCUAAAAAAAUCUGAAUUUAAAUAAGUAUCGCAUUGGAUUUAACAAAACUAAUUUAAAAUUUUAUAUUUGUGGAUAUUAAUUUUUUACAAAAGAUCAGCUUUUAAAAAAUUGACUUCAGACAAAACCAAAACUUCUUACAUUUAGAAACGGAUCUAGUACUUAUUUAUCUUGGGUGAAUUCUAUGUCUUAUCUCUCGGUAUGACGGUUGAUAAAAAUUAUCUCAUUUGCCGGCUUCUCAUUCUACUUUUGCAGGAAUCCAGCCACACCGUAGCAACAUCAGAACUUCGUGGUUGUAUUUGUUUGGGCUAUAACUCCACAACUGCAGCUUAGCGGUUGCCAACUGUGGCUGGAAUGUUGGAUCUUUAGAGCACCUUCAAUGCAAGGUGUUUAAGAUAGUGCUACAAAAUUAAACCAGUUUAUUCUCAAGCACCAAUGCUUAUUUCUAUACUAGAGGUGCCUAAUUAAGCACCUGUCCUAUAGAACACAAGCACCAGUGCUUAAACAAAAACCGGUUUAUUUUGUGCAAUCACCUCCCUAAGCACCUUGCAUUGAAGAUGCUCUUAUAAUGUUUGUUUUGCUUUGGUGACCGGUAGUUGUCGCUACACCUGAAAUGUACUAAAAUGUUCUAAAUACCUUUAUAAUUAUGGAAAUUAGGUUUAAGUAAUGUAAAGGGCACAUCUAAGACAUGUUUUUGUUGUACAAGACCAAUUUUCACUGGAUUUGAAAGUUUAACAAUGUAUAUGCAUGUACGUGGACAAAUUUCAUCAAAGAAUAGUACAACACAUUCACAUAUGCAUACACUAAUUCACAAUCACACGGCGGUCAAAAGAAAAAUCUCACAACCACACACAGAUUUUUAUACCGACUCUCGCACGUAUAUUUUUAUAUUAACUCACAUUGACGGAUUUUAAACACAUACACGAAUGCUGGAGUGCCAAUUACACGGUUACAUCACCAUUUUGCUCACGUCUCAGAGAAGAUGAAAAUGAACAGAGGGGAAGAGGACGUAGGAGCACACUACUACAAAACGGUCUAUAUCUCACGGCACAUCAGUAAAGGGUCCGGCGCGACCGUUACUGAUGAACAGAGCGGGGUCCGCCCGUCCCCGCCCAGCCAUACAUCAGUGACGGUCACGAGGACCCGUUACUGAUGAUUAACAUCAGUGUCGGUCGCUGCCGCGACCGUUACUGAUGAACAGAGCGGGGUCUGCCCGUCCCCGCCCAGCCAUAUAUCAGUGACGGUCGCAAGAGGCGACCGCCACUGAUGUACCAUCAUACCUCGCGAGAGACAUCAGUGGCGAUCGAGUAAGAGACGACCGUUCCUGAUGUACCAUACAUCAGUAACGGGCGGGCCGAGGCCUCCCGUUACUGAUAUGUACCACACAUCAGUGGCGGGCAUGCGGUCGACCUAACGUGCCCGGCACUGAUGUGUGAUACAUUAGUAACGGGCCGAACUAAAAUGACGGUUACUGAUGUAUCUCCUAUUAUCAGUAACGGUCGCCCAAAUCACGAACGCCACUGAUGAUUGACCGGGUUUAAGUGCGCGGGGCAGAGCCGCAGCUGGUCGUGCUGCGUGUCUUAACGGACCAGCUGCGGUCCUUCUUCCCCAGCGACGGCGAAGCGCUGCCGAAAUCGGCCGCCAUGGCCGCUGGCGACCCUAGGUAGCUCCUUCUCCUCCCUCUCCCUUCCUCCUCUCUCCCCCGGCCGGGGGCGCCCAUCUCCAUGGCCGGGAUGGCCCAUCUCCGGCGAGCUCCAAUCUUCGAGCCCGAAGCUUCCCUCUCCCUUGCGAGCUCUCUCUCCCUCCCGAUCUAUCUCGCCGGCCUCCAAUUUCUCUCCGAAGUUCCCCAAUUUCAAAUUUUUGAGUUCCGGCCGCCGGCCAAAAUGCGGCCUCCUCCUCGUCGCCCAGAGCUUCCCUCUCCCUUGCGAGCUCUCUCUCCCUCCCGAUCUUUCUCGCCGGCCUCCAAUUUCUCUCCGAUUGUCUCUAGUUUCAAAUUUUUAGUUAGCCCCGGUUAAUUAACACCUUAAUCCCCUUGUUAAUGAUUAGGCCGGCUAACUAUUUUGCUUUGUGUUUUCUUGUGUAUUGUGUUGUAGAUCGAAGGACCAUUCUUGGAUGUACGCCACGGAAAGAAUGAAUGCUCGAUGGAUAACCGAAUGGACGGUGUUUUUUGGAGUCGCGAAAGGUGAUAUGGAACGAAAAGGACUUGUGAUGAUGCGUUGUCCAUGUCGCAAAUGUGAAAAUACAUGCAUGAUGAAGUCUGAAGAUGUUCAAAUGCACGUGCUGGCAUCGGGUUUUGUGGAAGGUUAUUCUCGCUGGACUUGUCACGGGGAGGAUGCGGUUGAUGUCGGUAGCGGUAGCGAAGAUGAUGAUGUCCUGCGGUAUGAUCUGGCGAAUGAUUCCAAGCAAGAAACAAGGGUCGAUGAGGAGGCUAAUGUGGAAGGUGAAGGAGCUCCACGUGGCAGGAUUGCCAAAAUGCUAGAUGACCCGUACCUACGGGACCAGCUGGAGGACCCCGAAGAUGAGGCAGAGUCUGCUCAGUUCAAAAAAUUGUUGGAGGACGCAAACACACCCUUGUAUGAUGGAGCUGGCGAAGAAAACAACGUGUUUGAAGUGACGCUCGAACUUUUGAGGCUGAAGGCAGCAUCAUGCUGGUCAGACAAGUGCUUCACGAACUUGUUGAGUUACCUUGUUUCGGUUUUUUCACAGCCAAACAAGUUGCCCAAGAGCACAUACGAGGCGAAGAAGAUUACAUGCCCGCUUGGAUUAGAUUGCGUGAAACAUCAUUCAUGUCCAAACGACUGCAUGGUAUACAUUGAAGAGUACGAGAACCAUGAGAGCUGCCACAUAUGCAGUGCAUCGAGGUACAAGAAGAAAAACGCCAGAGCUGGCGAAGACGAUGGGGAAGAAGUGAUGAAGGGCAGGCCGGAAAAGACUGUCUAGUAUCUUACAGCAGGUGGCCGAGUUGAGCGUUGGAUGCAGAACGUUAAGGACGCGAGGUAUCUCAUCUAUCACGAUCCGGCGCAGGCUGCAUUCGAUUCUGACGGGCACUACCAUGUGCAGGAAGCUGGGGUCCUAAGACACCGUGCCGAUGGGACUCAGUGGAGGAACUUCAACACGGCAUUUCCAGAUUUCGGGGCAGAGCCCAGAAACCUGAGGCUCGGUCUCAACACUGAUGGGAUAAAGCCUUUCGAAAACAUGAACAACAAGCACAGCACAUGGCCAGUGAUCUUGUUUGUCUACAAUCUUCCUCCAUGGUUAAUCAUGAAGAGAAAGUACAUCCACAUGUGCAUGCUCAUACAGGGUCCAAAGCAGCCAGGAGCUGACCUAAAUGUAUAUC